AUUUUAUUUCGAACUCGAUAUUUUAAAACAAAAAUGAAAAAGAUGUGAUAUUAACCUUUUUUAUUAUAAAGUAAGUUUCUUAAUUAAAAGUGAUGGGAAUUUGUUUGUAAAAACAAUCUUGCACAUCUAACUUUCUUUUCAAAUUUGAAAAUUUUAUUAACUUUGAUGGUUUUAUAUGUAUGAAGGAUCUGGAUGGACGUAAUAGCACAAGAUCAUUUGACAUAGAGAUGCUUGAAGUUACUCCAAAUUAGUACGGUACUUUUAUCUAAUGUAUUGAUAUGUAUUUGUUGGCUUGAAGAUCAUUUUCCAAGCUUGGAAUUUUUAUUGAAUGCUCUUUGAAAUCUUUUCCAUUUGCUUUUAUAGUGGACAACCUAGUUGUUAAUUAUUAUCCAUGAUCUAAUUUAUAUUUUCAAGUUAAAAAUUUUGAUGAAUAUUAUUUCAUUUUUUUCCUCACUUCAAAAGAUGAAAAUCCUUGAUGUUAGUUAGUAAUAAAUUGGAGAGAAUAAUAAUAAUUUGUGUGUAUAAGCUGAUUGAAAUGAAGAUUAAAAUAAAGAAGUAAAAAAAAAGAGACUCGUAAAGAUUUUAUGUUAGUACUCAACAUGUCCUUUCUUGUUUUUUUUUUAAUUGGAUUACCUUUGUCUUUGGUUAAACUGCACUUCUUAAAAUAUUUUUGGAUUGUUCUGAUAUCAAAAAUAAUUUUUUUUAAAUAUUAUUUUAAUACAUUUUCAAUUAAAAAAUAUUUUGAAAAACAAUAUCUAACACACUCUCAAACAAGUUAAAACGUUAGUAAUAAAAUAACUUUUACAUAUUUUUCAAGUUUAGUAGAAUAGUAGUGGAAUAAUAUUUUUAAUAUUUAAAAAUUAAAAUUUUUUGUGUAACUGUUUUGUUAAAUUAUAAAGUUAAGGACUCUUUUGUAGUUUACCUUACACUAAAGUUAAUAAAUAAUAACACAAGAAAGGACCAAAGUUAACUACAAUACGAGGAAGUUUCAUACUAAAGUUAAAAUACCUCACACUUUUCAAUGAAACAUUACCUCUCCUGUACAUGAAUAUAAAUAAUUUCGUUGACCGACUCUUAUUUCAUUAAUUAUUGAUUAUUUGGAAGAAGAAAGCGUAUCCCUUCUCACUUUUAGAGCGUAUUUAGGGUAUUUAAGAGCGCAUUAUAAAUCCAGGGACAAUUUUGGGUUUUCUAAUCAGAACUUUGGACUAAAAUUAAUAGCAAAUUAAAUAAGGACCAAAUAUAACAGUGUGUAAAUCUAGAAACCAAAGAUAAUACAGCUGCAUUGACCGGAGAUUUCACUCGAAUUUUGACUAAAAAUUAAAAUUUUAUCAAAUUCUCUACUUUAUUAGUGUUCAUUUUCUUCUUUUUUUUUACCUAUCUUUUCCAACUGUUUAGAAAAUUUUUAUGGAUAAAAUUAGAGGAUAAGAAAGAGAUAUAGAAUCACUUUGUAAGAUUUCUAAAAACUUAAUUAUAUUAUAAUUUCUUCCUUAAAAUUAUUCAAAAUAUAGUAUUAGAAUUACAUAAUGCUAGGUUUUAAUAUAUAAUUAAAGAGUCUCUUCUAAAAGAAAUAAUGAAAAUAUUGUAUAACUCUUUUAGAAUGAAUUGUAAAUCCAGGGACAGUCUUCCUGGUGGUUUUUACUGUAUAUGAAUUGAAGAACUAUCAUUUGCUGAUUUACUUGUAAAGUAUUUGUAAGAAAGCUAAAAAUUAGAGUUUUAAAAUUUCUAAAAUAAAUAAUCUUCUCUAAAAUAAGUUUUUUUUAAUUAUACUUAUAAAAUUAAUUAAAUCUCAGGAUAAUAAGAUAUGUCCGGAUAUUUGGCGACUGANNNNNNNNNNNNNNNNNNNNNNNNNNNNNNNNNNNNNNNNNNNNNNNNNNNNNNNNNNNNNNNNNNNNNNNNNNNNNNNNNNNNNNNNNNNNNNNNNNNNGUAUGUUACAAAUUAAAUAUUAGUAUAUUUUUUUCAAGGUGAUAUCUCUUAUUAAAUCAGAGAUUCUCUCUAUUUUUUACAUGCAAUAUAAUCACGGAAUAAUUAAAUAAUUUGAAAAAUAAAUAAAUUUUUAUUGUGGAAUAAGUAAAUACUAAUAUCUAUAACUAGAAGUAACUAUAAUUAUAAUAUUAAAAAAAAGCAUAAUAAAAUGAAUUUAUUUAUAAAUUAGAUAAGAUUCAAACCAAGGGAAUUAAAGUGUAAAAUAAGGAAAACACCCUUGCCAGUCUAAAAUAAUUGAAGUAAUGAGUAAAUGCAUGAAGCAAGAUAAUUAGUUGAUAUUGUGACUAUUCAAGAUAAUUAUAAUCUAUAGGUAAUUGUAUACUAUAAAUUAAUAUCAACAAAAUAAUUGUAUUUAAUUGUUUGAAGUUAAACAAAAAAACAUACAUUCUCCCUUUCCCUUCUUUACAUGGCUUACUCAAUGAAAAAGCAAGCACUAACGCACCUUCUCCACAAACUACCAUAAAUAUAUAAAUAUAUUAUGAAAACAAGAUAAAAAGAAAUCUUUUGGUACAUAUAUAAAUAUAUUAUGGCUAUGAAAAUAGGUUUGUGGAAAUUUACAUCAUUUGAUCUUGACAGUGUCAGAUUAGACAAUUGAUUGCAUGGAAAUGGUCUUCUUAGUUUGCCGUGUGGAAAAUCAUCUCAUUUACGGGACUGCUGGAGAGAGUGUCUAUUGAUAAUUUUACCUUCUUUUCAAAUCUUUGACACUGCUUGGAUUGACCGGUAAUUUCACUCGAAAAUUUCUAGUAAUUUAUAAAGGAAAUUUCUACUGACUAUUAUUGACUGACUUCUUGCAAAGUAUUUGUAAGAAAGCUAAAGAAUUAAAGUUUUUUAAUUUUUAAAAUUGUAAGAAAAAAAUCAAUUAUUUUUAAAAUUGUUUUCAAAAAUAAAACAUCAACUAUUUAUAUAAUUGCUAAAUCUAUUAAGAUAAAUCCAAAAUAACUAGUAAAAUCAGUGACUUGCAUUGACGAGUGUAAUGAUCUUGACAGCAUCAGAUUAGACAAUUGCAUGGAAAUGGUCUUCUUAGUUUGCCGUGUGGAAAAUCAUGUGAUUUACGGGACUGCUGGAGAGAGUGUCUAUUGAUAAUUUUACCUUCUUUUCAAAUCUUUGACACUGCUUGGAUUGACCGGUAAUUUCGCUCGAAAAUUUCUAGUAAUUUAUAAAGGAAAUUUCUACUGACUAUUAUUGACUGACUUCUUGCAAAGUAUUUGUAAGAAAGCUAAAGAAUUAAAGUUUUUUAAUUUUUAAAAUUGUAAGAAAAAAAUCAAUUAUUUUUAAAAUUGUUUUCAAAAAUAAAACACCAACUAUUUAUAUAAUAGCUAAAUCUAUUAAGAUAAAUCCAAAAUAACUAGUAAAAUCAGUGACUUGCAUUGACGAGUGUAAUGAUCCGGAACCACUCGCAAUAAAUAAAGCCAAAAAAGGCAGACGAGUGUGUCUAUAUAUACAUAUAGGAACCGCUGAUUCGAUUUGAAUAUGUUAUUUGAUUAGUCUAAUUCAUGACUUGCAUUGACUCAAGAUUACCACUCAAGAUUUCGUGGUGCUUUCUCGGCCUGCAAAUGAAUAGAAAGCAUGUCCUUUUAACCUCAUUUCAAUAUCGUUGCUUUACUCUCCAGCUAGCCUGAUACAUAUGAGUCUCGAGACAUACGGCCAUUGAUAGAAAGGUGUGCUGAAGCAAAAUAUUUUUUUAUCUGUAGCGACCUCAAUAAUGUUAAAGCGUGGACCACCAUGAAAUUACCGCUCCAAAUUCCUUGUUCUUUCUAUAUUAUUAGAAAAAUUAUCAUUGACUAAUUUAAUUGGAAAUUAUUUGCGAGAAAGCUAAAAAGAAUUAAAGUUUUUUAAUUUAUAAAAUUAUAAUUUUAAAUUGUAAAAAAAUUCAAUUAUUUUAAAAAAUAAAACAUCAACUAUUUAUAUAAUAGCUAAAUAAAUCUAUUAAAAUAAAUUGAAAAUAACUAGUAAAAUCAAGCAAAUAAUCCAAAAAUAACAAGAAAAUAAAUAUAUUUCCUAGAUCUAAUUUGAUUAUAUUUUUUAUCUUGAUUGACUUACUUGCUAAGUCUUUGAACUUUAAUCUAAGAAUUUGUUUUAUAUUUCUUCAUUUAUUAAUGAAAUAUUACUUCUAUUGUAUAGUUUUUGGUUUCGAGUCGAUCCACCAGAUUAAUAGGUGAACAAUACAUUUUUUGAAUUUAUUAGAAGAAACGUGUAAUGUAAAUUAUAAAAUAAUAUUUAUUUUUCUGAUAUAUAUAAUAAUAAUAAAUUAGAUGACAGUUACAAGAAAAUAAAAAUUAAUUUGAAUAGAUGGUACGAGUUUCUAUUCUGAUAUAUCCAGGGAAGAAGUUCGAAGAAUAGAAUGAAGUUAAAUAUUCUUAAUAAAAAAAGAAAAAAAAAAGAAAAAAAAUAUAUUUUUAAUAAAUAUAAAAGAUGGAUAAAAUUAGAGAACAAGAAAGAGAUAUAUAAUCUCUUUGUAAGAACUUCUAAAAAUUUAAUUACAAUUGAGAAUUUCUUCCUUAAAAAAAUCCAAAAAAAUCCUAUUAUAUAUGAAUCAAGACAACAGUUGAAUAACUAUUACAUAUUUUUCAAGUUUACUUAGAAUAAUUAUUUUAAUAUUUAAAAAUUAAAAAAAUACUGUGUAGUUGUUUUGUAUAAAUUCUAAAGUUGAGAACUCUUUUGUGCUUGGUAAAAUGAAUAACUUUUACAUAUUCUUCAAUGUUUCACACUGCUUUAAUAGAUUGGUACAGUAAAUACCUCACACUACAGUUAAUAAAUAAUAACACAAGAAAGGACCAAAGUAUAUAAAUAAUAGCAUGUUUCACACUGCUUUAAUAGAUUGUUACAGUAAAAGCACAAAGAAGAACGGUUCAAGAUGUGGUAGAAUCACCUUCGAAGUGACUAAAUCUGCUUUAAUAUAUUUGAGAUUCACGCAAUGCCACUCUCAUCGGUAUUCUAAAAGCGAAGAGAAGAGUAGAAGCAAUGUGAUAGCUAUACAGGUGAGACUUAAUAAUUUACAGGUGAUAAUUGUUUUUUAAAAUAUUUUUUUUAUUUGAAAAUGUAUUAAUUUAAUGUAAAAUAAUAAAUAAAAUUUAAUUUUUUUUAAUUGUUUUUUAAAAUAUAAAAACAAAGAGGAUAUAAUCAACCUCUUGAUGUCACUAUUAAUUAUUGAUGUCGAUUGAUGCACAUGCUAACACCAGCGAAGAAUUAAGAGGCCAAUAUGCCAUUUGAUGCGAUAUUGCAAUUCAACAGCCAAGACACCACGGCUGAUAGAUGUAGACAGCGGUAAUGAACAGGAAAAGUUAAAAAAAUUAAAAUAUUUCAUGUCUUCACAGUCGUUUAGAAAAGAAACAAGAUCAAACCUUGGUUUCAUUUUGUCAGUUGACUCCAAGUCAAUGUCUAAAUCUCCUCUAAAUUCCAAACUGGGUCACCCAGCGAAUUAAGGUAUAGAUUUUAUUGGACGACAAUCAUAUUAAUAAAUAUGGGACGACAAAUCACAAACAUAAUCAAUUCAACCGUACUCCAAAGAACACUCAUACUCCAAUAUCAGCAACCACCACGAAGGUUGAAUUACACUACUUGUUAAAUUAAUAAAGUUACUAGUUGCUAUAAAGUAAGAGAUAAGAAAAUAUUGUGUUUUAAAAUAUUUUUGUUUUAAAAUAAUAUUUUUUUAUUUUUAAAAUUUAUUUUUAAUAUUAUUACAUCAAAACUAUAUAAAAAAAAUAUUUCAGAUUAUCAAUUCAACCGUUCUCCAAAGAACACUCAUACUCCAAUACCAGCAACCACUACGAAAGUUACCACUCUAAAUUCCAGCUCAAUAAUUUAUUCUUUGACAAUUAUUGCAUUGCUAAUAAUUUGCAAGGAAACAUACUUUUAACUAUAUUCAAUUCCAGAAUAUUUUUUUUUGAUAAAUAUUUGAGAAAUAUUGAUAAUCUUUUAUCAAGUUUUAUUUUUAUCAUUUUUAUUUGGAAUUAAUUCUAUUAUGUAUUUAAAUGUGUUUAGUUACCUUGUAAACUGUAUGUUAGAGUCCCUCAAAUAUUCUGGCCACAUCAACCACUAUAUUUUAUGCCAAGCAGUAUUUUGUCCUUGAACCCUUUGGCCCUCUAAAUUACCCAAAAAGGACAAUAAUUGAGCACAAGUGGUACAGGUCAGGGUUAAACUCAGCUUGCUAGAGCCAGUUCUCAAUUUUAGGCGCCAGUUCUCAAUUUUAGGCACCAGUUCUCAAUCGAAUUUUAGCAAAAUCUGGGCUAGGAUUUGAAACAAAUGUAGCUAUUUUUUCUCCUUUUAUUAUUAAAAAAUAAUAUUCAUGGAUUAAUUUUCGUAUAAUUUAAGAAAGUAAGUCCUUUAAUCAAAUUUUAGAGUGUUGCAAUUACUACGAAAGGAACGCAAAAAGACAUAAAGUUUUUCGAAGAGAGAAAUAAAAAGGAAAAGGAAAAGGAAACAACCCCCACUCCAUCUUUCCCUUCUUUCCAUGAAAAUCAAUUUUAGGAUUUUGAUUUUCAAUCAGUAUGAGUGAGAAAGAAAGAGAGGACAAGCCGACACUUCAAAGGUCCUCUUUCUCUUUCCUUGCUUUUUUUAACGCGUGGAGCCAGCAGUUGUUGCCACCAAAUUCCUUGCUCAGUAUUUGAAAAUUUUCCUAAUUUUUUUUCCUCUACGUGCUGUUACCUUUUACCUCUUUUAUAAUUAUUAUGAUUAUUGCAUUGCUAAUAAUUUGCAAUAAAGAUGAUGAACAUUUUUUAGUCAAUUCAAAAUAACAAGAUAAGGUUUGUUCAGGCUUUUCUUGGAACCUCGCUCAGGGAUUAGUUAGCGAGAAUAAGAAAAUGCUGUCCAAAUUAUACAAAAUUUAUUAUUAAUCAUCAAUAUUUAUUCUUGAUCAUCAAUAUUGAAUAAAGGCUUAUUUUCUAGUAUAAACUUUGAUGAGAUUGUUUAUAAAAAUAACCAAAUUGAGGUUUUUCAAUUACCUUUAAAUAUAUCAUAGUUUUAAUAGGCACACAGUAUAUUUUUUAAUUUAUUAGAAAAAACAUGUAAUGUAAAUUAUAAAAAAUAUUUAUUUUUCUGAUAUACAUAGUAAUAAUAAAUUAGAUGAUAGUAACUAGAAAAUAGAAAUUAGUUUAAAUAAGUGGUACCAAUUUCUAUUCUAUAUAUCUACGGAAGAAGUUCAAAGAAUAGAAUGAAAUCAAAUAUUCUUAAUAAAAGAGGAAAAAAAACACAAAAAGAAAUAAAAUAUGUUUUUAAUAAAUAUAAAAUAUGGAUAAAAUUAUAGAACAAGAAAGAGAAGUUAGAUACCUCAAAUUUUAGUAAGGAUCCAAUUGGAUUGUUUAAAAGAGGAGAAACUGUCAUUGACUGAUUUAAUUGGAAAGUAUUUACAAGAAAGCUAAAAGAAUUAAAGUUUUUUAAUUUUAAAAUUAUAAUUUAAAAUGGCAAGAAAAAAAUCAAUUAUUUUUAAAAUUGUUUUAAAAAAUAAAACAUCAACAAUUUUAUAAUAGCUAAAUAAAUCUAUUAAAAUAAAUUGAGAAUAACUAGUAAAAUCAAGCAAAUAAUUCAAAACCAACAAGAAAAUAAAUAUAUUUUCUAAAUCGGGUUUGAGUAUGUUUUCUAUCUUGAUUGACUGGCUAACUUGAUAAGUCUUUAUUAAGUGUAAAUCAACUUUAUUCUAAAAGUCUGUUUGAUAUUUUUUUAUUUAUUAAUGAAAUAUUAUUUUUACUAUACAGUUAUUAGAUCCCAGGCUAAUCUACUGGGUCGGUUUAAAUUUAAUAACUAUGGUUCAUAGUCAUAUAGCUAGUAGUUGCACUAAAGCUAAUAAUUUAAAAAAAAUUAAAUAUCAAUAAUUUUUGUUGGCAUCAAAUAAUUAAAAAUGAGAAUUUCAGAGCAGAGGGUUUAAGAAAUAUUAAAAUAGAAGGUUUUGUGUAAUUAUUAGAUAAUUGAAAUCAUCACUAAUCUCCUUUGUUCAUUUUCCUUUUUUAUUACCCUUACCAUGCACAAAACUUCAUGUCACUUAAUGAUACACUUGCUUUCAACGUUUAAACUGUUAAAGAAUAAUAUAAAUUAUAUUAUGAGAUCUUACCUAACAGCUUAAGUUAUUGGGUUGAGAUGGUUCUUUGAUAUGGUAUCAGAGCCUUGAUGAUCAAGCGGUCACGAGUUCGAAUCUCACCAUCUCUAUUUAUUUGAUAAAAAUUAAGCACAAAGUAAUGUGGAUUUGUGCAAGUUUUAAGCCCAAAUGGCUUUCACUUGAGGGAGUGUGUUAAAGAAUAAUAUAAAUCAUAUCCUGGGACCUUACCUAACAGCUUAAGUUAUUGGGUUGGGAUGGUUCUUUGAUAUAAUAGCAACCAUCAUGAAAUUACAACACUAAAUUUAUUCUUUAGCAAUUAUAUAAUGCUCGCUCUUUCACAGUUAUUGCAUUUCUAAUAAUUUGCAAGAAAAUUAACAUUCUUUGUCUCUCAAUCUGCACCUACCAUGAAAUUAACAUCCUUUCUCGACAUUUCCUAGCAAUUUAUGGAGGAAAUUUCCUUGUGCCCUCUCUUAUACAUUAUUACAAAAACUGUCAUUGAUUGAUUGACUUGCAAAAGUAUUUGCAAGAAACCUAAUGAAUUAGAGUUUUUAAAAUUUUUAAAUUAUUAAAAACAUCCAAUUGUUUUUUUUUUAAAUCAAGAAUAAAACAUCAACUAUUUAUAUAAUUACUAAAUAAAUCUAAUAAAAUAAAUUGGAAAUAACUAGUAAAUAAUUCAAAAAUAACUAGAAAAUAAAUAUAUUUUCUAUGAUUUGAGUAUGUUUUUGAUUCACUAAUUUGCUAAGUAUUUGCUAAGCAUAACCGAAAGAAAUUAUUUGCUAAUCACUCACUAAUUCAUCCAUGAUAUGUUCAAAAAAAUGGGUUAAAAAUUGGGUAACAACACCAUAUCUAUUUUAUUGAAAACCCGGGCCUGUAAUUGACCGGAAGAAAACCGAUCAACCCACUAAGUAGAUCUGGAACCUUGAUGACCCAACAAAACCUGGUAGAAAUUCAUUUUUUUUUCAAAUGUAUUUUUUCUUCUAGCUAGAGACCUCUAUUUUUUAUAUAUUUUUCAGUUGGUUACUAACCCAUUUCAAAGUUUACUAUAUAAAUAUUAGAAGAAUGUUUUAUUUUUUUAAUGUGGGAUUUGAAACCUUUUAGUAUAUAUACUCUUUGUUUACUAAAAAAAAAAUUAUGUUUUUUUAAUAUGAAAUAAAAAACCUUUUUGAUUUAAAUACUUCAACUCAAAAAAAUAAGAUAGUAUCUUUUUAAUGUGGAAUAAAAAAAACCAUUUGAAAUAAUCUUUUAAACUUCAUUAUUUAUAACAUGUAUAACUUAUAUCUUUCUUAAUUUUUUCAUAUGAAAUAUUAAAACCUUUAAUAUUUUUUUUUUCUUGGUUGACUUGGAUCAAUCCUUGUAACUCGAGACUCAGCUCCUUGAUUGAGUCGAUCUCGAGUCGGGUUUGAUAAUUAUGAAAAUAUUUAAUGAAAAAAUAUAUUUUUUUUGUAUAAAAAUGAAGGGUAAAAUAUUAAAUUAUGACAUAUAUCAUUAAUUAUUGACAUACUCUUGUAACAAGCAUGAAACUUUAUGUUAUUUCAUGAUACCCAUGUUUUUAACGCUUUACACCGCUUUAAUAAAUUGUUACAGUAAUAGCACAGAGAGAAGAACGGAUCAAGAGAAAAUAAUAAUGUAACCAUCUAGAAAGUGAUGCAAUGAUAAGAAUUUGGAACUAAAGAGUUUGUUUUUUUUUUUUUUUUCAGGUUCGAGUUUUGUGGUUGCUAAUAUAAUAGUUACUGGAGAUUUACAUGAUCGUUAACUUUAGGACUCGUAAGAUUAGUUUCGAGUUUUGUGGUUGCUAAUAUAAUAGUUACUGGAGAUUUACAUGAUCGUUAACUUUAGGACUCGUAAGAUUAGUCAAGAUGCAUGCAAACUGGACUGGAUACCUACAGGAAUCUAAAAAAAAAUAAUAAUGGAGAUGAAGCAAAAUCUCUGUUUGAUUUUUUCUUUUUUGUGUUUUUGGUACAUUGGUCAACAAUAGCUUGGAAGACUUUGGUAGCAGUAAGUAACCUGUUCUUCCUCAAUAAUGUUAACGCGUGGACCCUGUUGUUGUGGAAACUUUGCAGAGGAUCUUAAUAAAAACAAGUAAAUAGAAAAAUAUUAAUUUUUAAAUAUAAAAACUAGAAAACCUGAUAAUAUUGAAUAAAAAAUAAAAUAAAAAUUUAUUCUUUUCAAGUAGAAAAAAAAUAUAAAAGUUUAACAAUAUUGAAUAGAAAUAAAUAAAAUUUUUAAACUAAAUAAAAAUGAUAGAAAAAAAUAUUUAUUAUCUUAAAAAUUCUUAUAUUAAAAUCUUAAUUUAUCACAUGAACUGAGUCUAUAUGCUAAAAUCAGAAGAAAAAAAAAAACAAAUGUAACAAAAAAAAUUCUACACAACACAAUUAAUUAUAGGAUCGUAUAUUUCGAGACUAAAUUGAGGUUUUUGAAUUAUCUUUAAACAGAACAUGAUUUUAAUAGGUGCACUGUAUAUCCUUUGAAUUUAUUAGAAGUAACGUGUAAUGUAAAGUAUGAACCGCGUACCAUUAACUAGCCUUUUCAAUUGGAUUUUUUAUUUAAAUGAAAAGGAAAUUUUGUUUUAUUAUGAAAAUAAUAUUUAUUUUUUGAUAUAUCUAAUAAUAAUAAAAUAGAAAGUAGAUUGAAUAAAUGAUAUCAGUUCCUAUUAUGAUAUAUCUAGUAAAAGAAUAGAAUGAAUUAAAAUAUUCUUAAUAAAUAUAAAAGAUGGGGAAAUUACAUCACACGAAACUACCAAUAAGCAAAUUUUAAUCUGUAAUUAUGUAGGUCUUAAUUACAAGGGUUUUAAUUUAGGAAGUAUAUUAAAAAAUAAUAUAAAUUAUAUUCUAGAAUUUAUUUUAAUAGUUUAAAUUUUGAGAUGAAUUAAUAAGUCUUUACAAAUAAAAGAUAUAGUUUUACAAUAAAAUGCAUUUUUAGAAAUGAAAUUAUAUUAAAUUAAGCGUGCUCGAGAUUGUUCAAAUUAUUAAUUAAUUAUAAUUAACUUUAUGUCUUUAGAGGAAACAAAAGGGAAGGACAAAAUUAUUUUCCCCUCAACGAUAGACCUAGCCCACUUUCCAAACAAAAGGUAAAUAGAAUGAUGGUCUCAUAAAUUGCUUUUUUUCUUUCUAGCUCGUCAAGCAGUUUGGUCUCCCUCACUGGAAAAUCUCCUUUUUCCCUGCCUCUGUGCACGUAGGGGAAGAAGGAGAAUAGUAUCGUUCAAAAUAUCACUGUUUUGAAAUUUUUUUUGAAAAAAAUAAAAUGAAUUUAGGAAUAAUUUAAAAAUAGAUUAUGAUAUUUUCCAUCACUUUUUCUUAUCAUCAACUUCAAUAUGUUGCUUCUUUUUUAAAGGUUUAACACUAGAAAGCCUUUUUUUUGUUUCAUUCUUCAAAUCUUAAUAACAAACGUAUGUAAUAGACAAUUGAUAGUGAAAUGAAAAGGUUAAGGAAGAUGAAAUUGUAAGAAAAGAAAAUAAAUUUAAAAUAUUAUUAUGAAAAAAACAAAAAACAAUAAAAAAUAUGGACCAAAACUUAAAGAUAAAAAAAUUAAAGGUAAAAUUGAAAAAUAAUUCUAGUUUUAUAAAUUAUUAAAAAAAGAUUUCAAAUAUUUAAUGAUGAAAUCGAAAAAUAUUAACUUUAAAAAUUAGCCAGAAAAAUUCAAUAAAUAAUAAAAAAACAAACUCAAGAAAAUCUAAAUCAUUUAUAAAAUUAGUAAAAACUUCCACACUAAGUAAACAAAUAAAAACAAAACAAAUAGAAACAAGGAAGUAAAGUCUGUAAUUAAAUAUAUACGCGGAGACAAAAACAUGGGCAUGUGACAGGAGACAAAAGGGCAAAGGAAGGUCUCUAUCCAACUUCCUUUUCCUUUUUCUUAGAAAAAAAGUGACAAAAUCUGAUAGAACACAGAUUCCAUCUCUUUUUCAUUGGUUUUUUUGUUUUUUUAAUGUUUAUGCAUGUGGCUCAACCUUUCUCAGUAAUUGCAACAUGUUUCUUUGUUGAAUAAACUGCAAUACUGGUCUCCCUCACUGGACCCCUUUAUAAUGAGAAUCACACUAGGAAAUUUAAAAGUAAUUUGAAGUAUUAUUAAAGCCUAUAAAAAUAAAACUGAUAAUAAUAUAGUUGGGAUUUUAAAAAAAAAAUUGAUAAAAAACCAUAUAAAAAGAAAUUUGAAACAAAGUAAUCUUAAAAAACCAAAACAAACAUGCCAUGAAAACAAAUUUAAAAUAAACAAAAUACUUUAAAAAAAAAUAAUUCAACCAUUUCUUCAUAAAAAAAACAGUAAUUGGGUGUUACUUUAUGGUCAAAAAGUACAAUAAUGCAAAAAAAAAAAAAAAAAGAGUUUUAGGAUAUUGAUUUUAUUAUUUGUUAGGUAACUAUGUAAUCUAUACGUUGAUGUGGAAAAUAGGACUAAGUUUUUUUGUCAAAAGAGUAACUGUGUAAUCUAAUAUUCAUCUCUCAAAUCCCUAAUCCAAUUGAUCAUAUAAUUAAAUAAUUGUUUUAAUUAAUAACUAUAAGAAACAAACUCCCUUGUUAGUUCAUUACUUAAAUAAAAACUCAUGAUUGUCUAGCAAAGUAAAUAAAUUACUUAACCGGAUCACCAGAGGAGUUAUUUGCCAAAAUAAAAACUCAUGAUUGAGUUAUAUAACAGUUUAUAAAUCAUGCUAUCAUCUCCAUCACCAUAUAUAAAGCUAGACAAAAUAGGAUAAGACGGGAUUAAAUUUAAUUUUAGGAUAUAUUUGAGAAUAUGAUUGAAUCAUGCUUUUUAAAAUGUUUUUGAAUUAUUUUAAUAUGUUGAUGUCAAAAAUAAAUUUUAAAAAAUAUUAUUUUAAUAUAUUUAUAAUAAAAAAAUAUAUUUUAUAAAGCAAUUUUCACCAUAUUUUCAAAUAAAUUAAAAUUUUUCAAAUAAAUGGAUUGAUAUAUCGAUGACACUCUCUAGUCAGUUUUGAGAAUUUUGAAUCCAAACAAGUGAAUUUAUAUGCAUGCUUGUACAACUUGAUUUUCUCUUUAAUUUAAUCAACAAUAAUUUCUCAUACUCAAUAGAAAUUUGGGUUUAUCAUUAGGGUAAGACAACCUGUAUUUUAAAAUACUAUUGCCAAAAGAUCAUAUUAUUUAUUACCACAAGAAAGGACCAAAGUUAAUAAAUAAUAGCAUGCACGAAACUUCGUGAUACCCAUGUUUUCCACGUUUAAUAGAGUGUUACAGUAAAAGCACAGAGAGAAGAACGGUUCAAGACAGAACAAUAAUGUUAACGCGUGGACCCCAUUUGCUGUUUUUUCCUCUACGUGUUACCUUUUACCUCUUUUACCUCUUUUAUAAUUAUGAUUAUUGCAUUGCUAAUAAUUUCCAAGAAAGAUGAUGAACUUUUUUUAGUGAAUUCAAAAUAAACAAAAUAAGGUUUGUUGAGGCUUUUCUUGGAACCUCGCUCUGGGAUUAAUUAGCGAGAAUAAGAAAAUCCUGUGUAAAUUAUACAAAUUUCCUUGCUUUUUUUUUCCUGCAUGUGUUACAUUUUUAUCUUUUAUAAUUAUAAUUAUUGCAUUGCUAAUAAUUUGCAAGAAAGAAUAUUGUUUCUCUGAAAAGAAGUCUGAAUGUUUUUAGAAAGAAGCAGUCUUCAUUGCUUUUCAAAACCAAUCUCUGGAUCUAUUAACAAAAACUCUAAAUCGCGAGUAAUAGACACAAUUAAUUAUGCAUUGCUGUAAUAAAAUCACGUAUUUAUUUUCAAGUGGGAAAAAAUUAAGCCAUGAGGCCAGGGGUUCUUUGGUCUUUACCUAUUUUCGUUUUGGCCACCGAAUUUUAUUUUUUUUUCAAUAAAAGAGAAGGUUUUGUGUAAUUAUCAGAUAAUUGAAAUCAUCACUAACUCCUUUGUUCAUUUUCAUCUUUUUUUAUUACCCUUAGCAUGAUACACAGAAAAGAAGAACGGUCAAGAGAGAAGAAUAAUGGAGAUUACUGUGGAGAUGACGAAUCAAAAUCUUUGCUUGAUUUUCUGUUGUGUUUUUGGCACAUUGAUCAACAAUAGCUUGGAAGAGUUCGAUAGCAGAGGAAGAAAAAUAAUAGCAGUAACCUUUUCCACCUCAAUAAUGUUAACGCGUGGACCCAGUUGUCGUGGAAACUUUGCAGAGGAAGAAAAAUAAUAGCAGUGACCUUUUCUACCUAAUAAUUUGCAAGAGAGAAUUCUUUCUCUGAAUAUAUAGAAAAAAACUAUUAUUUUUUAAUAAAAACAACUAUAUAGAAAAAUUAUUACUUUUUAGGUAGAAAAACCUCAUGAUAUUGAAUAAAAAAAUGAAAUAGAAAAAUUAUUCUUUUCAAGUAGAAAAAAAUAUAAAAGUUUAGUAAUAUUGAAUAGAAAUAAAUAUUAAAAUUUCUAAACUAAAUAAAAAUAACAGAGAAAAAUAUAUAUUAUCCUAAAAGUUCUUAUAUUAAAAUAUUAAAAAGAACUGAGUUUACAUGCUUUAAACAGAAAAACAAUAAAAAAAACAAAUGUAACAAGAAAAAUUCCACGCAACAUAAUAUAUAUGAUAUAAAUUGAGGUUUUUAAAUUACCUAUAAACAUAUCAUAAUAUAUAUGGUACAUCCUUUGAAUUUAUUAGAAAGAAGCCAUUAACUAGCCUUUUCAAUUGGAUCUUUUAUUUAAAAGAAAAGGAAUAUUUAUUUUAAUAUGAAAAAAAUAUGUAUUUUUUAUAUAUAUCUAGUGAUAAUAAAUUAGAGGAUAGUAACAAGAAAAUAGAAAUUAGAUCAAAUAAAUGAUACCAAUUUUUAUUCUGAUAUAUCUAGCUAAAGAAUAGAAUGAAUUAAAACAUUCUUAAUAAAAAAAAAACAGAAAGAAAUAAAAAAAUAUUCUUAAUAAAUAUAAAAGAUAGGUGAAAUCAGAGAACAAGAAAGAAAUAUAGAAUCUCUUUCUAAGAUUUCUUGUUCCCUUUCCCUUCUUUACACGGCCUCCUCAAUGAAAAAGCAAACACCCCAUUUGAUUUUCAUUCAGUAUGAGAGUGAGAAUGAGAAUGAGAAUGAGAGAGAGGUAAUUUCGACUAUACAUAGAACUCGACAGGACAGAAGACUUAAAGAUAAAAUAGCUUUGAUUUACAACCAUGGCUUCAAGGGCCUGGAAUAGGACCAGGUACAAGUUUGUUUCUAUCUAAGAAAGCAAGAAGCUCCCACUAAUGCAUGCUCUCAACAAACUACCCCCAAUUUCGCCACUACAGCUCAAGUAGCUUUGAGUCAUUCCAACAAGUAGGAAUUGAAUUCAAAGGAAUAAAUCAUUAAAUGCGGAGUUGGUGUUCUCCUGUUUGUGGUUCUGAUAAAUGUAAGAACGGACAGAGAGAAGAAAUAGGAAAAAUCCAUGUAUCUAUUAGUUGGCAGCAGUUAUCAUUCGGCCCUUGCCGCCCACGAAAUCCCUUUAUCCUGCUGUUAAUUUUUUUAAAGACGCGUAUCAGGUGUUUGAUAAAAUUCCUCAACUGGAAAAAAAAACCAUGUUUAGAAUGCUUGAGUCCUUUACAAGUGGAAAGUGGGAACUAUCCACUUUCCCAUUUGAAAUCAUCACUAACUCCUUUGUUCAUUUUCUUCUUUUUUUAUUACCCUUAGCAUGAUACACAGAAAAGAAGAACGCGUGGUUCAAGAGAGAACAAUAAUGGAGGGGAAUCAAAAUCUUUGUUUGAUUUUAUGUUGUGUUUUUGGUACAUUGAUCAACAAUAGCUUGGAAGAGCUUGAUAGCAAUAACCUUUUCGACCUCAAUAAUUAAUGUUAAUGCGUGGAUCCAGUUGUUAUGGAAACUUUGCAAAGGAUCUGCAGGAAGAAAAAUGAAAAGCUUUUCGAACCUACAAUAUAGAGAGAGAAAUAAAUAAAUAAAAAGCUUUUCAAAACCAAUCUCAUGCCAAAUUGGUUUGUCUGUCCAGUACUUGAGCUUGCACACUUCGUUUAUAUUCAAACAAUAUUCUUCCGUUGCUUUUAUUCUUUACAAUAAUGUGAUAGGAAUAACAUUAAUAUUAUUAUAAAGAAAAAACUCCACCCACUUUGAAACACCUUUGAUGUGUUGAUUGAAAUUGACAAGUGAGUUUACUCACAUGUUGUUAUAUUGGUUUUGAGUUCAAAUAUGGAGAUUUUAUGAUUUAUUCACAUGAAUGCAUUCAUUUAUUCACCUAUUAACUAAAUCAUGUAUUCAAUAUGAAUGAUGGGAGAUUUUUAAUGUCUUCUGAAUACAUUCAUUUAUAUAUGAAAAUAAUUUAUGUGUGUGUAUAAGGUUAUUGAAAUGAAGAUUAUUAUCCUCCAGCUCAUCAUCAGAUCACACGAAAGGAACGCAGAAAGACAUUCCCUUUCUUGUCAUAAAGUUUUGAAUAGAAUGCCCAUCAAAAAGUACUUUCGUGCAUUAUUGUCAUAAAGUUUUUCAAACUUCCAAUAUAGAGAGAGAAAUUAAAAAAAAAAAAAAAGCAAAAGGAAACAACCCCCACCUCAUCUUUCUUGUUCCCUUUUCCUUCUUUACAUGGCUUACUCAAUGAAAAAGCAAGCACUAAGGCACCUUCUCCACAAACUACCCCCCAAUUUCGCCACUAUAUAAAUAUUAUGGAAAACAAGAUAAAAAGAAAUCUUUUGGUACAUAUAUAAAUAUAUUAUGGAAAUUAACAUGGUAUCAGAGUAUCUGUGAACUAUUGCUGGGAUUGGGAAGUCAUAAUUUUUGACACGCCUAAUCACAGUCUUUUUUGGAAAAAGAAGAAGAAGCCAGGCUAUGAAAAUAGGUUUCUGGAAAUUUACAUCAUUUGAUUUUGACAAUUGCAUGGAAAUGGUCUUCUUAGUUUGCCGUGUGGAAAAUCAUGUCAUUUACGGGACUGCUGGACAGAGUGUCUAUUGAUAAUUUUACCUUCUUUUAAAAUCUUUGACACUACUUGCAUUGACUGGUAAUUUCGCUCGAAAAUUUCUAGUAAUUUAUAAAGGAAAUUUUUACUGUAUAUGAAUUGAAAAACUAUUAUUGACUGACUUCUUGCAAAGUAUUUGUAAAAAAGCUAAAGAAUUUAAGUCUUUUAAUUUUUAAAAUUAUAAUUUGUUGAGGCUUAUCUUGGAACCUCGCUUUGGGAUUAAUUAGCGAGAAUAAGAAAAUCCUAUGCAAAUUAUACAAAAUUUAUUAUUAAUCAUCUAUAUUUAUUAUUGAUCAUCAAUAUUGAAUAAUGGCUUAUUUUCUAGUAUAAACAAUGUUUGAAAUAAAAUUGAUAAAAGAUAGUAUACAUAAUUAUUAAUGAUGGGAUUGUUUAUAAAAAUGACUAAAUUAAGGUUUUUUAAUUAUCUUUUAACAUUUUAUGAUUUUAAUAGAUGGGCUGUACAUCAUGUAAAUUAUAAAAGAAUAUUUAUUUUUCUGAUAUAAUAAUAAUAAUAAUUAUAAUAACAAUAAUAAUAAUAAAUUAGAUGAUACUAACGAGAAAAUAGGAAUUAGUUUGAAUAAAUGAUACCAGUUCCCAUGAUGAUAUAUCUAAAGUCCUAAACUUCAAGAAUUUCUCUUCUUUAUCUUUUGUAUUUUCUCAUUUUCUUGGCAUGCGCGCAGCUGCUUCAUGGAAAAAACGUUUCAGAUGCGGAAAAUAAAAGCGGAAAAAAAAAUCCCAAAUAUCAGCAAACAUCACAAGAGAAGCUUGAUCUCAACAAGAUGUUGCAGUCCACAGUCUUUCCAUUACAUUAUAAUUACUUCUAAAAAAAAUUAAUUUAAUUUUUAAUUAUAAGCCAUCAGCAACUACCUCAAAAUUACCACUCUGAAUUCCAGCUCAAUAUCGAUUAACAUGUGGCUACAGAAUUUGAAUUAAGUUCAAUUAUACAAAAUCCUGUGCAAAUUAUACAAAAUCCUGUGCAAAUUAUACAAAAUCCUGCUUUAAGUUCUUGGAACCUAGCUCUGAGAUUAAUUAGCGAGGAUAAGAAAAUUCAGUGCAAAUUAUAUAAAAUUUAUUAUUAAUUAUCGAUGUUCAAGAUUUUCUUAAAUGUUAUUUUAUUUUCAUUAUUAUUUAUAAAAAUCCAAAAAAAUUAAGAAAAAGUUUAAAAAUUCAAAAAUAUAUUUUUCUCGAGUCAAUCACAUUUUUCCAUCAAAACCAAGUCCACCGGGUCAAACCAUGUCGACUAGGGUAAAAAAUGAGUUUCGGGUCAAAACCGUCAUUUCCGACCAAAACCGAGCUCACCGGGUCAAUACGGGUCAAACCAUGUCGACCAGGGUAAAAAAUAAGUUUCGGGUCAAAACCGUCAUUUCCGACCAAAACCGAGCUCACCGGGUCAGGACGGGUCAAACCAUGUCGACCAGGGUAAAAAAUGAGUUUCGGGUUGUUUCGGGUCAAAACCGUCAUUUCCGACCAAAACCGAGUCAUUAGGUCAGUACGGGUCAAACCAUGUCGACCAGGGUAAAAAAUGAGUUUCGGGUUGUUUCGGGUCAAAAACUGUUAUUUUCGACCACAACCCGGUUCACCGGGUUGAUACCCAUCAAAUGUUUUUUUUGAUAUUCUAUUUCUUUUUUUGCGGUUGAAACCGGCUUUUUCUAAUACUAAUUUGAAUUUUUAAUUUUACCUAUAUAAAUAUUUAUUAUUAUAUAUAAUAAAACAAAAUCAAUAAUUCAACAAUUUGUCAGCGGAGCAGUUGAUUUUUUUAUUUAAGGUAGAUGGCAGAAGGGAAAGGAAAACAGAAAGAAAGAAAGAAAGAAAGAGAGAAGAGUGUACUAUUCAUAUCUUUUUUAGUUUUUCUUCAUGAGAGUAGGAUAUUGUUUUUUUUUAAAAACAAUAUGGAAAAUAUCAAACAUAUCCCAACCACUGGAUUCAAUAGUGUUAGUUCUGGGCCUUUAAUUUAAUAGGAUACAAUAGGACUUACCACACUAGAUUAAAACCCAAACACAUCUCAGCCCUUGAAAUAAUCUAAGCUUUGAUCCCGUUGCCCCACGUCACCCGGUGUACUGAGAUUUCGGUGCACCGCGUCACACCAGGUCAAACAUCUGCUCAUCCAGACCGUCCGAUCAACCUGCAGAUCGAGCCAAUCACAACCACACGAUCUUUUCAUCAGAGAUCCAACAGAUCACAGGCUUAAGUUGCACCGGUGUAUAGUGCUAGCGCUCACACCGUAGUAUAACCCAAAGCCUCUCUCUCCUAUCGCCGGCGACUCUCUCUCUCCUCCGAUCUCCCAUCUCCGGCUGUAUAAAGCCUCCAAACUACCACAGAAAGGUCGCCAACCUCCUACAAAGCAAAACACCGGCCUUUUUCAGCGUUUUCUCCGCCUUAUCUGGCCGCAAAAAGGCCGCGAUCGUCGCUGGCCAGCGACGCUUCAAGUCGUCGAUUCUCACUCAUCAGCCAUCAACGACCGUCAAGACCACCACCAUCAGAAUCCUCGACAUCAGAUCUACCAGGAUCGACCAUCGGUUGGACAGAAAUCUCACCGGAAAAUCUCGCCGCCGCCAACAGUAACCGCACGUGAGACACGCGCCACCAGUGGCAUUUUCGUAAUUUUUCAAGAAAUCCGAGGGUAUUUAAGUCUUUUACCUGGCACUCAUGUAUUUUUUUUAUCUAACAUUUUUUUAUUUUGUAUAAAAAUUUUCUUGCAUGUAGAAAAAAAAUAAAAAAAAAAUAAAUAUAAAAAACGACGUGGGUCCAACACCCAUCUUAUCAUAUUAUUGGUCGUGGGUGCAAAGCCCAACCUCUCAAGAAUAGUUAUACCUAUUUUUAAUGACAUCAAAAUAUUUGUUUUUAUAAAUAAAUAUUAUUUGUUGACACGUCUCUUUUUAUAGAAAAGGACCGAUGUCAAAAAAAGUUUAAAUACCAAACAAAUAUGGAUUAUGUUUAUAAUUUUGUUUUUUUUGUAAAUCAGACGUAAAUCUCCUUUUUAGGAUUAGACAUCGAUAUUUUAGACGAGUCUUCUAUUUUUAAGGACUGAUGUCAUUUUUAAUGUGUCUCUUAUUUUUAAGGACCGACGUUAACCAUUUUAAAAAAAUAAUAAAAUUACAAAUAAGCUCAAAAUACAAUAUCAUUUGAAACAAAAAAAAAACACAAGUAAAGAUAACUUUUCUUUUGAAAUGAUAAUUUAAGGGUGAUGUCUACCUUCCCUUAAUCAUAACUAACCCAGUACCUAAAUCUCUGGGACCAGUGUCUAAUUUGGGAUUUUUAGUUCCCUCAUAUUACUAGAUGGCGACUCCAAUAAAAUCUUAAUUUCCCCAAUAAAAAAUCUCUUUUUAUUAAAUAAACAAAAAAAGCGGAGCCAACAAAAAAAAUAGAGCCGUCGCCCGACAUUGUGUAUAAGUUUAUAUAAGCUUAUUUGAACUCGUACACGUUAAAGAAUAGUAUUGACCUUGAUAUUAGUUAUAAAUAAAUUGGUUUUUCAGGAAGAUAUUGUUUUAGGUUUAUUUCUUUAUUUAAGCUUGUUGAAUUCUAGGCCUUAUAUGAUAUUAGUUGAUGUGAUUUGGAUUUAUUUUUAAGUUAAUUUGUGUGUGGGUAGUAAUAAGUGUAUAUGAAUAUGAAUUGAAGUAAGUACCUUAACAAAUGUGAUGGGUUGGUGUGAAGCUUUGAUUAAUUGCUAUAUUUUGAUGUCAUGAGCAAAUACCUUAACAAAUUUGAAUAUUUGAAAGAUAAUAAAUAAAUAUUGAAGAAUUGUAUAGAAAGAAUCGUAUCGAAAUUAUGGAAAAUAUGAUUUUGUCCUGAAAUUCUAAAAAACAAUUAUAGUUUGGUCACUGGUUGUAAAUAAUAAAUUUUAAAAUAUUUUUUGAUAAAUAUUGAUGAUUUAUUAUCAAUUUUUAUUGUUAUCAUUUAAAUUUAAAAUUAAAUAUAUUCUGUAUUUAAAUGUGUUUCGUUUCUUUGGAAACUGCAUGUGUUGGGAAAACUAGGGACAACUAACCGGAUCAAUUCAGCGGAAUACAAUUCACAAUUCACAAGUCCCAAUCAUUUUUCCCUCUUUGUGCAGUAAAAACAGAAUCAAACAAUGAACAAAUAUAAUGCAACAAUCACACAAAUCAACGCCAAGAUUUUUACGUGGAAAACCCGAUGCGAGAAAAACCACGGGACCGGAGUCCACCUAAAAACUUCCACUAUCACAAAUAAUGGGUUCACAAUUGUUCUUCCUCAGAUUCAACUAAGGGCUACAACAUAUAUAUAUCAUCAAGAACAACUUAUUCUCGGAUUACAACAAGAUUAAAGAGAGUAAUGUUAGAGAAAAGCUCACAACACUGACAGCCCUGUUUUCUGUCAAAACGACCAGCUUCCACACCACCAAUCUUCAAUCCAACCGUUCAGAAUGAAGAGGAACGUGUCUAGAAGUUUCUGUCAAAAUCUCAGCCCGAUCCAACGGUGAAACAACUGGAAAAUGAAGAAAGAAGACAGACUGCUCUGCUGCCUCCUCUUCUUUCUUUCUCUCGGUUUUCUUCUCCUCUCUUCUCAAAUUUUCUACUACUAUCUACAGUAACCGUUUCAUUUAAUUUAAACCAAAGAGGCAGCCAGCUGCCUCCUUAAUUAAUGUGGUGGUCCCCCAUCACAUGGUGCGGGACCACACAACAGUAUGCUAGAGUCUCUCAAUAUAUUAAAAGGGCUAACUAUAAGGUAAAAUAAUGAUCAGUUUUAGUUAGCUCCUGCGGGACUUUGCAUUCUAUAAUUUAUGCUAUGCAUUCUAUAACCCUUGGCCCUCUAAAUUACCCAAAAAGGACAAUAAUUGAGCUUGGUGAUCUAAGAGCACAAGUGGUACAGUUCUCAAUCGAAUUUUAGCAAAAUCAAGGAUCCAAGAAAUGGCCUCUGUAACAUGGUAGCUAUGAUUUGAAACAAAUGUAGCUAUGUUUUCUCCUUUUAUUAUAAAAAAUUAAUAUUCAUGGAUUAAUUUUCAUAUAAUUUAAGAAAGCAAGUACUUUAAUCAAAUUUUACAUUGACCAUCCUCAAUGUGUUUAAAGUAAAUGUUAAUUACCAAGCUGUUGCAAUUAAACCUGACCGGCCCGGUAGGUUUACUGUUACCUUUUACCUUUUAUAAUUAUGAUUAUUGCCUUGAAUAUAUUAUUUGAUUAGUCCAUUUAUAGGUUGACUCUACUAUUCCUGCCUUGCAUUGACAGUAAAUUUCACUAGAAAUUUCAAGUAAUUUACACAGGAAAUUUCCUGGUGAUAAACCUGGAAUCUGAUUUUCAACUUUCGUAGGCACUAAAGUCCCAAACUUCAAGAAUUUCAGAAUAUCAAUUCAACCGUACUCCAAAGAACACUCAUACUCCAAUAUCAGCAACGACCACGAAAGUUACCACUCUAAAUUCCAGCUCAAUAAUUUGUUCUUUGACAAUUAUUGCAUUGCUAAUAAUUUGCAAGGAAACAUACUUUUAACUACAAGAGUCUGUUUGAUAUUUUUCCAACUUUUACUGUUUCACUUCAAAGUUUCAAUAAUUGUUUUUUCAUUACAUAUUCUUUCCAACGUGUAAUAAUUCGGAACCACUCGCAAUAAAUAAAGCCAGCAAAGGCAGAUGUGUUUGUCUAUAUAUACAUGAACCUGCUGAUUCGAUUUGAACACCCCAUUUCUCCGAUUCAAUAACUUCAGUUGCAAAACUUCUCUCUCCGAUUGCUGCAAUUUCAUAGCUAACUCUUUGUUAUACACAGGUAUAUAUGGCUAACUCUUCUUAGCUUCUUUCUUGUUUUAAUUUCAUGUCUCUACCAUUAACAAUAAUGUGAAAGCUUUGCUUGUUUCAUGUUUAACUUCAGUUGCUAUUGUCCUAUGCUUUCUCAUUAUUAAGCUUAAAUUGCUAAUUGAUUGUUCCUUAAAUUCUGCAGCUGAAAUGAGAGAGUCAGAGUCUUCUCGUUCUAUACCAGAAGGGGCCUAUGAUGUCUUCUUGAGUUUUAGAGGAGAAGAAACUCGCAAGACGUUUACUGGUCAUCUAUAUGCUGCCUUAGAUGAAGCAGGAAUCCACACUUUUCUAGAUGAUGUUGAACUUCCUAGAGGAGAAGAAAUCUCCGAGCAUCUUCUCAAGGCAAUUCGAGAAUCAAAGAUAUCCAUAGUUGUCUUCUCAAAAGGAUAUGCUUCUUCUAGAUGGUGUCUCAAUGAACUUGUAGAGAUUCUAAAGUGCAAAAGGAAGAAAACCGGUCAGAUUGUUCUUCCUAUAUUCUAUGACAUUGAUCCUUCAGAUGUGAGAAAACAGACUGGCAGUUUUGCAGAGGCAUUUGAUAAGCAUGAAGAGCGUUUUGAAGAGGAGUUGGUGAAGGAGUGGAGAAAAGCUCUUGAGGAUGCCGGAAACCUAUCUGGAUGGAGUCUCAAUGAUAUGGCAUAUGGGUAUUCCUUUUCUCUCUAAGAUUCACUUGCAGACGUUUAUGGAGUAAUUUUACAUUACAUUUUUCAAUGUGAAGUUAUAAAAUAUUUCUUUUUAGCAUACUUAAUUGACUUGCUAUCGAUGACUUGCCUUUUUUUCUGUGAGCAGGCAUGAAGCAAAAUUUAUCAGAGGUUCCUGAGCACCUCGUAGGUAUGGAUCGGUGUACUCACAAUAUUUAUGACUUUCUAAGUAAUGCAACAGAUGAUGUACGCAUUGUGGGCAUACAUGGGAUGCCAGGAAUAGGAAAGACAACUAUAGCAAAAGUUGUAUUUAAUCAACUCUGCAAUGGAUUCGAUGGAAGCUGUUUUCUUUCGGAUAUCAAUGAAAGGUCAAAACAAGUUAAUGGUCUGGCUCUUCUACAAAAGCGACUUCUUCACGAUAUUUUAAAACAAGAUGCUGCAAACUUCGAUUGUGUUGAUAGAGGAAAGGUUCUAAUCAAAGAGCGACUUUGUCGCAAAAGAGUUCUUGUUGUUGCUGAUGAUGUUGCUCAUCAGGACCAGCUAAAAGCUCUGAUGGGAGAUCGAAGUUGGUUUGGUCCCGGAAGUAGAGUAAUUAUUACAACAAGAAAUUCAAAUCUUCUUCGUAAAGCGGAUCGAACAUAUCAAAUUGAAGAAUUGACAAGAGAUCAGUCCCUUCAGCUUUUCAGCUGGCAUGCCUUUGAGGACACCAAGCCAGCAGAAGAUUAUAUUGAGCUUUCAAAGAAAGCAGUUGAUUACUGUGGAGGACUUCCUUUAGCUCUUGAUGUUAUGGGUGCUUGUCUGUCCGGGAAAAACAGAGAUGGUUGGAAAUCUGUAAUUGACAAAUUGAAAAGAAUUCCAAACCACGAUAUUCAAAGAAAGCUUAGAAUAAGUUAUGACUUACUGGACGGUGAAGAACUAAAAAAUGCAUUCCUUGAUAUCGCAUGCUUCUUUAUUGAUAGAAAGAAAGAGUACAUCGCAAAACUGCUAGGAGCCCGUUGCGGUUACAAUCCAGAAGUUGAUUUGCAAACUCUCCAUGAAAGGUCUCUGAUUAAAGUAUUGGGAGAGACGGUAACCAUGCAUGAUCUAUUACGAGACAUGGGAAGGGAGGUCGUUCGUGAAUCGCCUCCAAAAGAACCUGGAAAGAGGACCAGAAUUUGGAAUCAAGAGGAUGCAUGGAAUGUCCUUCAGCAGCAGAAGGUAAGAGCUCAAUGCAUACAUGAAAGCAUAGUCAAACUUAUUACAUAUAAUUGAAUGAAAGUUGUAUUGAUUUUAUUUUUUUAGGGUACGGAAGUUGUAGAGGGUCUUAAACUGGAUGUCAGAGCAUCAGAAACUAAAUCACUGAGCACAGGAUCAUUUGCAAAAAUGAAAGGCUUAAAUUUACUCCAAAUCAACGGAGCACAUCUCACCGGAUCCUUCAAAUUGCUUUCUAAAGAGUUGAUGUGGAUUUGUUGGCAUGAAUUUCCUUUGAAAUAUUUUCCAUCUGAUUUUACUUUGGACAAUCUAGCUGUUCUUGAUAUGCAGUACAGUAACCUCAAAGAAUUAUGGAAGGGAAAAAAGGUGAGAAACAUGCUGCAAUCCCCAAAAUUUGUCCAGUAUGUAAUUUAUAUUUACAUGUUAUGACUUUCUAUGAUUAAUUUUCAUUAUUUUUCUCUCUAUUAUAACAGAUUCUCGACAAGCUUAAAAUUCUUAAUCUCAGUCAUUCUCAGCACCUUCUUAAAACACCAAACUUACACAGUUCAAGUCUAGAGAAACUAAUUCUGAAAGGUUGCUCGAGUUUAGUUGAGGUGCAUCAAUCAAUUGAAAAUUUGACGAGCCUUGUUUUCUUGAAUCUGAAGGGAUGUUGGAGUCUGAAGACUCUCCCUGAAAGCAUUGACAAUGUAAAAUAUCUUGAAACUCUGAAUAUAUCUGGGUGUUCACAACUUGAGAAAUUGCCGGAACGCAUGGGUGAUAUGGAAUCCUUAACCGAGCUGCUAGCUGAUGGGAUUGAAAAUGAGAAAUGUCUCUCUUCAAUUGGACAAUUUAAGCAUGUCAGAAGGUUAUCAUUGCGUCGAAAUAGUUCGGCUCCACCAAGUUCUUCUUUGAUUUCAAUAGGUGUUUUGAAUUGGAAACGUUGGCCGCCAGCAUCUUUCAUUGAAUGGAUAUUAGUGAAACAUCUUGAGCUUUCUAAUAGUGGUUUGUCUGAUCGCGCAACUAACUGUGUUGAUUUCAGUGGUUUGUCUGCUCUAGAAAAAUUGGAUCUAGAUGGAAACAAAUUCUCUAGGCUGCCUUCUGGGAUCGGCUUCCUUCUCAAGCUAAGGGAUUUGUCUGUUGAGGGAUGCAAAUAUCUUGUAUCAAUCCCAGAUCUUCCCUCAAGUUUAACGCGUUUGGGUGCAUCUUAUUGCAAAUCAUUGAAAAGAGUAAGAAUACCAAGCGAGCCAAAAAAAGAACUAUAUAUAUUCCUAGAUGAAAGUCAUUCGUUAGAAGAGUUUCAGGACAUUGAAGGUCUAAGUAAUAGUUUCUGGUAUAUUCGUGUUGAUGACCGCAGUCAUUCACCAAGUAAAUUACAGAAGAGCGUUGUUGAGGUACUAUUUCUUUCUGUCUCUCUUUCGCACAAAAAGAAACACACAUAAUUGGCACAUACAUUGAUUAAUGUCUAAGAUCCUAGCAUUUCUUGAAAUCAAUAUGUAUACAGGCAAUAAUCAUUAUUAUUAUUAUUUUAUUUUAAAAAAUAAGUAUCAUCUUUAAUAAUAUUUUUUAUUUUUCUUAUUUAAUCUAAAAAAUUAAAUAUUAUCUUUAAUAAUAUGUUUUUAUUAAAUAUUUAAAGUCUGAUUGGUUUUAUUUUUUAUUUCUUGAUUUUAUGAUAAUAUAUUUAUACAGGCAAUGUGCAACGGUCGUCACGGGUAUUUUAUUCGCCACACUCCUGGUCAGAUGCCAAAUUGGAUGAGCUACAGGGGAGAAGGACGCUCAUUGUCAUUCCAUAUACCUCCAGUCUUCCAAGGCUUAGUUGUUUGGGUUGAUAAGGAUGAUAAGGAUGCUCACAUUAUUAUUAUUAUAAGAAAUAAUAGAAAUGGUAAUCUCUUGUUUCAAUGUACGAAAUGGUAUUAUCAUCCAAAAACUGGAAGUAUAAGAUACAUAAGAAGAAGUGAAAUGGCAAUGGAAGAUUACUGUGCAGAUGACGAAUUGGAACUAUACAUUUAUUCAAAGCCAUCACCGUUGGCAAUGGCAAUGGCAAUGAAGGAUGCUGUGAUGCCUUCAUUUGAACCGUCUACACCUAAGCAAUGUGGGGUCCAUGUGAUCGUAGGAAAGUCAGAUUCAUUUGAAGAGUUGGCAGUGGGAAGAGAUGCAGUGAUGCUUCCUCAUCCUCGUUGUGGUUCGAUUACAGCGUCUACACCUAAGCAAUGGAUUGACUUUUUAUUUGCGAAGCUGCAAAACCAUAACCUCAAUUUAAGGCUUUUUGGUAAGAAUACAUAUUUCCUUUAGUUAUUUCUAUUUUAAUAUUCUAUUUAAUUUAAGAGAUUAAAUAUCAUCUUUAAUUAUUACAUUUUUCUUAUUUAAUCUAAAAAAAUAAAUAUUAUCUUUAACAAUAUUUUUUAUUAAAUAUUUAGAGUCUGCUUGGUUUUAAUUAUUUCUUUUCUUGAUUUUAUGAUAAUAUUUUUCUUAUUUAAUAUAAAAAAUAAAUAUUAUCUUUAAUACUUAGAUCUAUCGAAUAUCACUUAAAAAAUAAAUUGUAACUUUAAUAAUUAUUUUUUGAAAAACAAAAAGCCAACAAUCACUAACUUAUUUAUUAAAAUCACUUUAGUUUAUCUAGAAAAUAUUGAAAUUGAUUUUUUUUUUACAUUAAAGUAAAAAAAAAAUAAUGUUUUUAUAUUUUAUUUCAAACUCGAUAUUUUAAAACAAAAAUGAAAAAGAUGUGAUUUUGACCUUUUUUAUUAUAAAGUAAGUUUUUUAAUUAAAAGUGAUGGGAAUUUGUUUUAUUGCAUGUACAAUCAUGCACAUUUAACUUUCUUUUUAAAUUUGAUGGUUUUUUAGUACGGGAAUGACUUGAAGAUGAUUUUACAUAGAGAUGCUUGAAGUUGCUCCAAAUCAGUACGAUACUUUCAUCUGACAUGUUGAUAUGUAUUUGUUGGCUUGAAGAUCAUUUUCCAUCCGCUGGACAACCUAGUUGUUAAUUAUUUUCCAAGGUACUUCUAUCUGAUGUAUUGAUAUGUAUUUGUUGGCUUGAAGAUCAUUUUCCAAGCUUGGAAGUUUUAUUGAAUGCUCUUUGAAAUCUUUUCCAUCCGCUUUUAUACUGGACAACCUAGUUGUUAAUUAUUAUCCAUGAUGUAAUUUAUAUUUUCAAGUUAUAAAUUUUGAUGAAUAUUGUUUCAGUUUUUUCCUCACUUCAAAAGAUGAAAAUCCUUGAUGUUAGUUAGAAAUAAAUUGGUUUUCUAGGAAGAGAUUAUUGAUUGGAAUAUAGUAUUUGAGUUGGUUCUACAUCAUUUACUGUUAUAAAUAAUUUAAAAUAAUUGAUGAAAAUUACCGAUACAUAGAAAAGUUGUGAGAGCAUCCUUAAUUAGUCUAGUAAGUAAAGUGUUGUUAGUUUUGACUAUAAGAUCUUGCUAUGUAUUAUUGCAUGGUUUUUACUAUUUUUAGGCAUUUUUCUUUUUGUAUAUACAACUUUUGUUUUUCUUGCCGCUUGUCAUUAGCUUUAUGGCACCAACACCAAUUAAUAAUAAAUCUUGAACUAUUAUUAAAUAAAGAAAAAAUAUAAACAUUGUUAAAAUACCAAACUUGAAUUGCUCAAUCCUAAAGAAACCCUAUGACAAUAAUCUAAUUUAGAAAAUAAUUAAUUUAUCCUUGUAGUCUAAGAAAAUAUAAACAUUGUUCUUUCUUAUUUUAUUUUUUUUAAUUGGAUUACCUUUAUCUUAACGAGUGAAAUAAAGAAACACUCCCCCCAUCUUUCUUGUUCCCUUUCCCUUCUUUACAUGGCUUACUCAGUGAAAAAGCAAUUAAACACCCCAUUUGAUUUUCAAUCAGUAUGAGAGUGAGAGAGAGAGAGGCCAAGGUGGUCCUUGAAUAUUUUCUUCUUUUUUGUCUCGCUCACUGGGGCAAACCAUUUUUUUCAACAUUUUGAAUAGCAUGCCAUCAAAAGGAAUUUUGUUCAAUCCCAAUCCCACAUUGUCUGUAGAAGUAUUUACUUUUGACUCCACACUUUGUUAUUUUCCAAUCCCUCCCCAGUUCUGCAACCAUUUCUCUACUUUCUAUGCUCUUGGCUUGCUAAAAACUAAAGAAAACACAUUGCUCUAGUUGCCUCCCUUCACUCUUCAGAUUGCUCAACAAAUCCCUUGAGACCUUCUCCAUAGUUAACACAUCACAUAAUGGGUACUCUAAAAAAUUUAGCCAUAAACAUUGAACACCUUGAGCAAUCAACGUGCCUUCCUUCACAAUAUCCAUCGCCCAUAAAUCUUUCUUUUGGGAUGUCGCGGGAGUUUAAUCUCCGAGUGUUAAAAUUAUGUAUAAAUUUCCAUUCUUUCCUUCCAUCCAUUACUUGUCCUCUAUGAAGAUUCUAUGUAUGAAAUCUCGGAAUCUUUUCGAGUAUAACUUGGGAUCAACAGCUGAGAUAGACGUGGGAUCCACUUGUAAGGACUUGUAUGCAUGCUCUAGCUUUUUGCUGAUAUCAUAAUCUUGGAGGAUGUCAAUGAUACCAAAGUGAAGAACUACAUCUCACAAUCACCAAAAUUCAAAGUAAAGUAACGGAGAAGAAAAUCUGAUAACAAUGAAUGAUCACUCAUUAACCACAGCGAAUCUUACGCUUUGAAAACACUUUUCACCAUCAAUUUUCCUUUUCUCAUUGAUUUUAAAUCUUCCAGGCAGAUAAAAUAGCAUUGGUUUCAUUCUGUUAAAAAUGGACCUAUUCAUCAGCUUAGGCAUCAACAACAUGUUGCAUCCACAAUCUUACUACUACAUUAUAAUUAUAAACAAAACUAAAAAAAUAUAUAUAUGAGGACAGAGUUAACAGACAUGCACUAAGAGUUAACAGACAAUUCUGUUAUAACAAACAAGUGAACAAUCUGUUUUCUCCAACCUUCCAGCAUUAUUCUCCCGAGCAUAUUCUGUCAGCUCAAGAUUAGGCAAUUCUGUUAACCAUGCUGUUAGCUCUGUUCUCUUUUGUUGUAUAUAUACUUGAUUGAUUGAUUGAUUCAAUAACAUUAUCUUUCUCUCUUCUCACCUGCCCCCUUUUUCUUCUCCUUUUACCUCUAGCUUCCAAUGCCUAUCAACACCACCAUCCUUAACACAAAUGAAUCUCACAGCAUGUUGAUUACCAUCAAUGUAGCAGCCCAAACUCCAUUAAAACUUACCUCCACCAGGCACCAACUAUCUAGCCUGGAAACUUCAAUUCCAGACUCUAUUCAUAGGACAUUUGAUUGAGGUCUCCACAAACAUUGAAACACCGCAAUUUUUCAUGAUAAAAUCCAAAGGAUUGGUACUUUGGUGUUUGAGGGGCUGGUAAAUGAAAGAACAGAUCAAGAGAUGACAUCCCUCUAUACCGCUGUUAUUCCUUUCAAGGUGCGUAUCAGGUGUUUGAAAAACUUCCUCAACUUAAAAUAAAAAGGUCUUGUUUACAACGUUUUUUAGUCCUUUACAAAUCUUCCAAUGUGUUGCGUUUACUGAAUAUGAUAGUGGGAACUUAUUUAUCAAGAAUUAACUACUCAGAAGAAAAUGUAAAGACGCAAUAAUGAUUUUUUUAUUUUAGAUUCCAUAGUCUACAAACUUGGAAGCAUACGGACCAGUCAGCUGGUAAAUGAAAGAACAGGGAUCAAGAGAUGAAAUCCCUCUAUACCGCUGUUUGAUACAAAAGUUCAUGGCCAAGUAAAAGAUGUUUAUUUUGGAUGUAAUAAAUAUUCAUAUUGCAACAUAAUAGUCAUCUCUCAAAUCCAUAAUUCAAUUGAUCAUAUAAAUAAUUGUUGAUUACUUAAAUAAACAAUUAUAUAAUUAAAUACUUAAUUAUAAAUUAAAGAGAUGGACAAUUAUAUAUUUCUAAAAUCUUAAUUACAAUUAUAUUAUAAUUUCUUCCCUAAAAUUUUUCAAAAUACAGUAUUAGAAUUACAUAAUAAAAUACAGUAUUAUAAUUUCUCAUCUAAAGGUCCAGCAUACCCUGGGAAUCUGAUCGGGUCAAGCUACGAGCAAUUAGGAGGCAUGACCAUCACCCACAUGUAACUUUGCUAAUAAUAUAUUACGGUUGUCAAAAUUAAUUAUUAUUAGCAAAAACUUAUUUUAUUUGUGAAUCUCUCAACCGUUGGAUUUAGAUAUGAGGAUAAGAGAUUGUGGGCACCUCUCUUUUUUAAAAUAACUAAAAUCUAAAUCAUCGGACGNNNNNNNNNNNNNNNNNNNNNNNNNNNNNNNNNNNNNNNNNNNNNNNNNNNNNNNNNNNNNNNNNNNNNNNNNNNNNNNNNNNNNNNNNNNNNNNNNNNNCCGGGAUUAUUUUAACUCAGUGAUCCUUCCCAGGUAGGCCCAGGUCACAUUGAUUAUGUUAAAAAAAAAAAAAAUCUAAUGUCUUUACCAUUAUAUUAUAAUUAUUUAGGAGGAUAGUUGAACAAUACUUUUUUAAAAAAAAUUAAUUUUUGACGAGUAAAAUAAUGUGGAACCAAUCGCAAUAAAUAAAGCCAAAAAAGGCAGACGAGUGUGUCUAAUUCAUGACUUGCAUUGACUAAAAAUUACCACUAGAAAUUCCUAGUUUUAUCCUAUAUAAAGAAUACAAAAAAGGCAGACGAGUGUGUUUCGUGGUGCUUUCUCGGCCUGCAAAUGAAUAGAAAGCAUAUCCUUUUAUCCUAUAUAAAGAAUAAUACAAUUAACAAAGCAUAUUUCAAUAUCCUUGCUUUACUCUCCAGCUAACCUGAUACAUAUUUCAAUGUCUCAAGACAUACGUAUGCCAUUGAUAGAAAGGUGUGUUCAAGCAAAAUCUUUUUUUAUCUGUAGCGACCUCAAUAAUGUUAACGCCACGAAAUUACCACUCCAAAUUCCUUGUUCUUCCUUUUUAUAUUAUUAGAAAAACUGUGAUUGACUGAUUUAAUUGGAAAUUAUUUGUGAGAAAGCUAAAAAGAAUUGGAGUUCUUCAAUUCCUAAAAUUCUAAUUUUAAAUUGUAAAAAAAAAUUAAUUAUUUUUAAAAUUAUUUUAGAAAAUAAAACAUUAACUAUUUAUAUAAUAGCUAAAUAAAUCUAUUAAAAUAAAUCGAAAAUAACCAGUAAAAUCAAGCAAAUAAUUCAAAUAUAACAAGUAAAUAAUUAUAUUUUUUUGGUCUGAUUUGAGUAUGUUUUCUUGACUUGCUUUAGUGUUCAUUAAACAUAAACAAACUUUGCUCUAAGAGUCUGCUUAUCAAUAAAAUAUUACUUUUACUGUACAUAAUAGAAAUAAUUUGGUUACCCGUCGACACUUACGUCACUUUACUCUUCAAUCGAUGUAAUUUCAUAGCUUUUCUCAGCAGGUGGGAUCCAACUAAUUUCAUAAAUCAUAAUUCUUCCUAAGGCGAUGCCAAAUAGGUGCCAAGAGUAUACCGCAUUAAGCGAAAACAUGCUGUCGCCAUAGUCUUACAGCUAANNNNNNNNNNNNNNNNNNNNNNNNNNNNNNNNNNNNNNNNNNNNNNNNNNNNNNNNNNNNNNNNNNNNNNNNNNNNNNNNNNNNNNNNNNNNNNNNNNNNCCAUUAAUAUUUGAUUGUUAUAAUUUAAUUUUUUUUUAAAAGCAAUUAAUCUUCAUUCUCUUUAUUUUUUUUCAAUCCAUUUAGUAAUUUGAUUUUUUUUUUUAAUUUUACCCUUCAAUUUAAAAUUUUAGUUUGUCCUCUCAAUUUUUUUUCAAAUGAUGUUCUUUUUUCUUAAUUGUUGUUUUUUUAUCCUUUAAUUUUUUUUAAUUUUAUUAUUCAACAUUUCAUUAAUUGAGAUUUGGUCUCAUUAAGCCCUACCCAAGAGUCAAUCUGGGAUAAUUAUUAAGUCACAAGUCGAGUAAGUUGACUCGAGUUAACCUAAGUUAACCAAAUCGUUUUAUUUUAUAAAAAGCCAAAAUGAUACCAUUUUUUUUAAAAAAAAUAAUAAACAAGUUUUGACCAUGUUUCGGCUAGGUUUUCUCAGGGUUAACUGAAAUAUUGGUCAACCCAGGUUUUGAUCGUAUUAUACUGGAGUAAUUCUCCGUCAAUUUUUUUUGAAACUCGAGCCAGUUUCAGCUAAAGGUCACUUAGAACACAGGUCAACCCAUAAGUUAAACCAAAUUUUUAAAUAAUAACUUUACAAAUAUAGUUCUUUCAAUUUAAUUACUAUCUCAGAUUAAGAUUUGAAAAAUUAACAUGGAUUUCUUUCGUUAUUCAUUUUAAAAAAGAACUCGUUAGUUUGCAAGUCCACGUGUCAAAUUUGGAAAAUCAUAUGGCCCAUUGAUAGAAAGGGGUGUUGAAGCAAAAUCUUUAUUAGCAAAGCCUGUUCGACCUCAAUAAUGUUAACGCGUGGACCCAGUUGUCGCAACCACCGCGAAAUUACCGCUCCAAAUUCCUUGUUCUUUCUCCGUAUAUUAUUUUUGAAAAACUGCCAUGUAUUUAAUUGUAAAGUAUUUGCAAAAAAGCUAAAAGAAUUAUAGUUUUUUAAUUUUUAAAAUUAUAAUUUUAAAUUGAAAAAAAAUAAUUAUUUUUAAAAUUGUUUUAAAAAUAUAACAUCAACUAUUUAUAUAAUAGCUAAAUAAAUAUAUUACAAUAAAUCAAGAAUAACAAGUAAAAUCAAGCAAAUAAUCCAUAAAUAACAAGAAAAUAAGUAUAUUUUCUAGAUCUGAUUUGAGUAUAUUUUUUAUCUUGAUUGACUGACUUGCUAAGUUUUUGCUAAGUAUAAACUAAUUUUACUCUAAGAAUUUAUUUGAUAUUUCUUCACUUAUUAAUGAAAUAUUAUUUCUACUGUAGAAAAUAGAAAUAAUUUGGUUGACCAUCGACACUUAUGUGAUUGAUUAUUGAUUAUUUUACUCUAAGAUGAAUAUUUUUUUGUUUGCAUCAAAUAAUUAAAAUUGAGAAUUUCAAAGCAGAGGGUUUAAGGAAUAUUAAAAGAGAAGGUUUUACGUAAUUAUUAUAUAAUUGAAAUUGUCACUAAUCUCCUUUGUUCAUUUUCUUUUUCUAUUACCCCUUCCAAUCAGCAUGCAAGAAACUUUCAACGUUUUACACUGCUUGUUCACUUAAUAAAACUAUUACUUGCUAUAAAGCAAGAAAUAAUAUUCUUUCUCUGAAAAGGGCUUGAGAAAACCCUAAGCAUGGUAGAUAAUCUCUUAUAGGAAUCUCUUUAUUAAAUAAUCAAAUAUCAAAGUCUAUUUCCAAAGACUAUUACUACAGUUUAUAUAUAUAUAUAUAUAUAUAUAUAUAUAUAUAUAUAUAUAUAGAAACAACUAAAUAGAGAAAUUAUUAUUUUUUAAAUAGAAAAGGUUGAAAAGCUUGAUAAUAUCGAGUAAGAAAUAAAAUAUAAAAAUAAUUCUUUUUUAAAUAAACAAAUAUAAAAGUUUAAUAGUACUGAAUAGAAAAAAAAAUAGAAUUUCUAAACUAAAUAAAAGUAACUGAAAAAAGUAUUUAUUAUUCCAAAAAAUUAGAGUUUUUUAAUUUAUAAAAUUAUAAUUUUAAAUUGUAAAAAUAAUUCAAUUAUUUUUAAAAUUAUUUUAAAUAAUAAAACAUCAACUAUUUAUAUAAUAGCUAAAUAAAUCUAUUAAAAUAAAUUGAGAAUAACUAGUAAAAUCAAGCAAAUAAUCCAAAAAUAACAAGCAAAUAACUUGUCAAGUCUUUAUUCAGCACAAACGAACUUUAUUCUAAAAGUAUAUUUGAUAUUUCUUCACUUAUCUAUGAAAUAUUACCUCUACUGUACAGAAUAGAAAUAAUUUGAUUGACCGUCGAUACUUAUGUUAUUGAUUAUUGAUUAUUUGGAAGAAGAAAUUGUAUUCAUUCUUCUUAUUUAUUUUUAUUAUUAACGUGGAUGUUCAGGCCAGCUUGCGCACACCUCGACUAAUCCCACGAGUCCUGAAGUUAACGAUCAUGUAAGCCUCCAGUGACCAUCAUAUUAGCAACUAUAGAGCUCGAACCUGAGAUUAUAGAGGGAACAAACCUCUUAAUCUCAAACUCUUAUCACUAGAUCACCUACUUUACUAUUCAGCUCGUUGUAAUUUCAUAGCUUCUCCCAGGUGGACGCAACUAAUUUCAUAAAUUAUAAGUCUUCGCUAAGCAUAAAUGAACUUUAUUCUGAGAGUCUGAUUGAUAUUUUUUCAUUUAUUAAUGAAAUAUUACUUCUAUUGUAUAGUUAUUGGGUACCGAGUCGAUCCACCUGGUCAAUAGAUGAACGGUACAUUCUUUGAAUUUAUUAGAAGAAAUAUGUAGUGUAAAUUAUAAAAAAAAUAUUUAUUUUUUGAUAUAUAAUAAUAAUAAUAAUAAUAAUAAUAAUAAAUUAGAUGAUAGUAACAAGAAAAUAGAAAUUAAUUUGAAUAAAUGGUAAGAGUUCCUAUUCUAAUAUAUCCAGGGAAGAAGUUCGAAGAAUAGAAUGAAGUUAAAUAUUCUUAAUAAAAGAAAGAAAUGAAAUAUAUUUUUAAUAAAUAUAAAAGAUGGAUAAAAUUAGAGAACAAGAAAGAGAUAUAUAAUCUUUUUGUAAGAACUUCUAAAAAUUUAAUUACAAUUCAGAAUUUCUUCCUUAAAAAUAUCCAAAAAAUCCUAUUAUAUAUGAAUCAAGACAACAGUAGAAUAACUUUUACAUAUUUUUCAAGUUUACUUAGAAUAGCAGUGGAAUAAUUCUUUUAAUAUUUAAAAAUUAAAAAAAAAACUGUGUAGUUGUUUUGUAUAAAUUCUAAAGUUGAGAACUCUUUUGUGCUUGGUAAAAUAUGAUUUUCAACUUUCGUAGGCGAGCACUAAAGUCCCAAGCUUCAAGAAUUUCUCUUCUUUUCCUUUUGUAUUUUCUCAUUUUCUUGGCAUGCGCGCAGCUGCUUCAUGGAAAAAACGUUUCAGAUGCGGAAAAUAAAGAUAAAUGUGGAAAAUAGAAGCGGAAAAAAAAUCCCAAAUAUCGACAAACAUCACAAGAGAAGCUUGAUAUCAACCACAUGUUGCAGUCCACAGUCUUUCCAUUACAUUAUAAUUACUUCUAAAAAAAAAUUUAAUUUUUUUUAAUUAUACGCCAUCAGCAACUACCUCAAAAUUACCACUCUAAAUUCCAGCUCAAUAUCGAUUAACAUGUGGCUAAAGAAUUUGAUUGCUGCUCAAUAUUUACCAAUACGCGCUUGAGAAAUUUCCUGCACGUGUUACAUUUUUAUCUUUUAUAAUUAUAAUUAUUGCAUUGCUAAUAAUUUGCAAGAAAGAAUAUUGUUUCUCUUAAAAGGGCUUGAGAAAACCCUAAGCAUUGUAGAUAAUCUCUUAUAGGAAUCUCUUUAUUAAAUCAUCAAAAUAUCAGAGUAUAUUUCCAAAUACUAUUACUAUAGUUUUUAUAUAUAUAUAUAAAAAUAGAAACAACUAAGUAGAGAAAUUAUUAUUUUUUAAAUAAAAAAACUAGAAAAGCCUAUAAUAUUAUUGAAUAAAAAAUAAAAUAGAAAUUUAAUCAAUUAAAAGUUUAAAAAAAAAUACUGUUUAACUGUUUUGUAUAAAUUCUAAAGUUAAAGAGUCUUUUGUGCUUGGUAAAAUACGUCACACUAAAAUUAAUAAAUAAUAACACAAGAAAGGACCAAAGUUAAUAAAUAAUAGCAUGCACGAAACUUCACGAUACCCAUGUUUUCCACGUUUUACACUGUUUUAAUAGAUUGUUACAGCAAGAGCACAGAGAGAGGAACGGUUCAAGACAAAACAACGAAGGAGGGGCAGAUGCUCAAGUUGUUGCAACCACCAUGAAAGGAACACAUUAAUGUUAACGCGUGGACCCAGUUGCUGCACCAGCACGAAAGUACUACUCCAAAUUCCAGCUCAAAUUGAAUAAUGAUUUAUUUUCUAGCAUAAAUUAUGUUUGAAAUAAAAUUGAUAAAAGACAUAAUUACACAAUUAUUGAUGGGAUCGUAUAUAAAAAUAAUUAAAUUGUGAUUUUUUAAUUAUUUUUAAACAUAUCAUGGUUUGAGGUACAUCAUGUAAAUUAUAAAAAAAAUAUUUAUUUUUCUGAUAUAUAUAUAGUAAUAACAAAUGGUUAGAAUGCUUUAGUCCUUUUCGAGUGGAAAGUGGUGUGAAAGUGGGAACUACUGUGAGAGCUUUAUGCCACUUUCUAAAUCGCGAGUAAAGUCUGAAUGUUUUUAGAAAGAAGCAGCCUUCAUUGCUUUUCAAAACCAAUCUCUGUAUCUAUUAACAAAAACUCUAAAUCGCGAGUAAAGUCUAAAUGUUUUUUAAAAAGAAGCAGUCUUCAUUGCUUUAAUAAAUUGUUACAAUAAAGCACUGAGAGAAGAAUGGUUAUACCGUUGAGCCGGGUCGAGUUUUAAAAUUAUAAUUUAUAUAUAAAAACAACUAAAUAGAAAAAUUAUUAUUUUUUAAAUGAAAAAACCAGAAGAGCUUAAUAAUAUUUAAUAAAAAAAUAAAAAUGAAAAAAUAUUCCUUUUUAAGUACAAACUAAUUUAAUAAUACUGUAUAAAAAAAUUAAAAUUUCUAACCUAAAUUAAAAAAAAUAAAAAUAACUGAGAAAAUAUUUAUAAAGAUAACGGUAUGUAAAUCUAGGAACUAAAAAUAAUACAACUACAUUGAUUGGAGAUUUCACUCAGAAUUUCUAGUAAAUUAUAAAGGAAAUUUCCUAGUGCUUUUCAUGUACAUGAAUUUAAAAAUUAUCGUCGCGGAACUUACUUGCAUUGACUGACUUGCUAAAUAUUUGUGCUCGAAAUUUCCAAGCAAUUUAUGGAGGAAAUUUCCUUGUGCUCUCUCUUGUACAUUAUUAGAAAAGCUGUCAUUGAUUGAUUGACUUGCAAAAGUAUUUGCAAGAAAGCUAACGAAUUAGAGUUUUUUAAAAUUUUAAAUUAUUAAAAAAAUCCAUUUUUUUUUUAAAUCAAGAAUAAAACAUCAAGUAUUAUAUAAUUGCUAAAUAAAUCUAAUAAAAUAAAUCGGAAAUAACUAGUAAAUAAUCCAAAAAUAACUAGAAAAUAACCUUUUCCACCUCAAUAAUGUUAACGCGUGGACCCAGUUGUUGUGGAAACUAUGCAGAGGAAGAAAAAUGAUAGAAAAAUUUGCAAGAGAGAAUUCUUUCUCUGAAUAGAAAAAAACUAUUAUUUUUUAAAUAAAAACAACUAUAUAGAAAAAUUAUUACUUUUUAGGUAGAAAAACCUCAUGAUAUUGAAUAAAAAAAUAAAAUAGAAAAAUUAUUCUUUUCAAGUAGAAAAAAAUAUAAAAGUUUAAUAAUAUUGAAUAGAAAUCAAUAAAAUUUCAAAACUAAAUAAAAAUAAUAGAGAAAAAUAUUUAUUAUCCUAAAAAUUCUUAUAUUAAAAUAUUUAAAAGAACUGAGUUUACAUGCUUUAAACAGAAAAACAACAAAAAAAAAAAACAAAUGUAACAAGAAAAAUUCCACACAACGUAAUAUGAUAUAAAUUGAGGUUUUUAAAUUACCUAUAAACAUAUCAUAAUAUAUAUGGUACAUCCUUUGAAUUUAUUAGAAAGAAGCCAUUAACUAGCCUUUUCAAUUGGAUCUUUUAUUUAAAUGAAAAGGAAUAUUUAUUUUAAUAUGAAAAAAAUAUUUAUUUUUUUGAUAUUUCUGGUAAUAAUAAAUUAGAGGAUAGUAACAAGAAAAUAGGAAUUAGAUCGAAUAAAUGGUACCAAUUUGUAUUCUGAUAUAUCUAGCCAAAGAAUAGAAUGAAUUAAAACAUUCUUAAUAAAAAAAACAGAAAACACAGAAAUAAAUAAAAAGAUAUUCUUAAUAAAUAUAAAAAAUAGGUAAAAUCAGAGAACAAGAAAGAGAUAUAGAAUCUCUUUCUAAGAUUUCUAAAAACUUAAUUACAAUUACAUUAUAAUUUCUUCCUUAAAAUUAUUCAAAAUAUAGUAUUAGAAUUGCAUAAUGCUAGGUUUUAGUAUAUAGUUGUUUAUAUUGUUAAAGAGUCUCUCCUAAAACAAAUAAUAAAAAUAUUGUACAACUCUUUUGAAUGAAUUGUUAAUGCACGGACUGUUUUGGGUCCUGACUUGGUUGAUUUAACUUGAAUGUAUUAUUUGAUUGGUCCAAAUAAAAGUCGACUCGAAAUUUCUAUUAAUUUACAAAAGAAAUUUCCUAGUACUUUAUGCUGUAUAUAAUUUGAAAAAUUAUGACUGACCGACUUACUUGCAAAGUAUUGGCAAGAAAGUUAAAGAAUUAGAGUUUUUAAAUAUUUAAAAUUAUAAUUUUAAAUUCUAAGAAAAAAAUCAAUUAUUUUUAAAAUUGUUUUAAAAAAUAAAAGCAUCAACUAGCUAAAUGAAUCUAUUAAAAUAAAUAAAAAAAUAAUUAGUAAAAUCAAGUGAAUAAUCCAAAAAUAACAAGAAAAUAGAGAUAUUUCCUAAAUAUGAUUCCAGUUUGUAUUUGCUAACAUAAAUAGCAUACACGAACUUUAUUAUAAUAGUAUAUUUGAUAUUUAAAAAAAAAACUUAUAUAUAUUAUAUGGGUUGGAAACCCAUUUUUUAUUAAAUUUUAAAUUUUAUAUGUUUAAAAAUAUUUUUUUAUAUUUUUUAAUUAUUUUAAUAUGAUAAUAUCAAAAAUAAAUAAAUAAAAUUUUUCUAACUCUUACUACUUCUGACUUGCUAUGACUCGAAAUUCGUGGUGCUCUCUCCUGCAAAUGAAUACAAAGCAUAUCCUUUCUCUUUCUCCUAUAUGAAGAAUACAAUUAGAAAUUUCCUUGGUUUACUCUUCAGAUUACUUUUCCAUGCACGAAACUUUAUGCCAAUUAGCAACCACUGUGAAAUUACAACUCAAAAUCCCAUGAAUAUAUAAAAAAAAAUUAGAAUUUGACUAGAAAAAUUCUAUCAAAUUCUCUACUUUGUUAGUGUUCAUUUUCCUUCUUUUUUUACCAUAUCUUCAGUUGGGACAAAAUUAUCUUCCCCAAACGAUAGACCUUUAUUUUCCUUCUUUUUUAGUUUAUUAGUAAUUACAUUAAAGAAAAAUAUUAAUUAGUAAUUUUACAUUUUUUUUCUAUAUUAUAAUUAUCAAAUAACCCUUAAAAAAUUUUAUUUUAACCUUUUUUUUCUCUCUUUUUUUUUCAAUUUAUUUGUUAAUUUAAUUUUUUUUUUAAUUUUACCUUCCGGUUCAAAAUUUUAGUUUAUUCUCUCAAUUUAUUUUUCAAAUGAUGUUCUUAUUCUCUUAAUUGCUAUUUUUUAUCCUUCAAUCUUUUUAUUUUAUCAUUCAACAAUUCAUUAAUUGGGAUCUGGUCUCAUUGGUUUUUCCUAUUGUUUCUAAACUCUACCCAAUAGUCAAUCCAGUAUAAUUAUCAAGUUACGAGUUGAGUGGAUUGACUCGAGUUAAUCUAAGGCAACCAAAUCUUUUUGUUUUAUAAAAAGCCAAAAUGAUGCCAAUUUUUUAUUUUUAAAAAAUAAAAAACGAGUUUUGAUCUUGUUUCGGCUAGAUUUUCUCAUGAUUAACUAAAACAUUGAUCAACCUAGAUUUUUUAUUGUAUUACAUUAGAUCAAUUCUACCUCAAUUGUUUUUGAAACUCGGGCCGUUUUAAACUAAAGAUCACCUGGGACACAGUUUCUUGGCGCUUUGUACUGUAUAUAAUUUGAAAAACUGUGAUUGACCGACUUACUUGCAAAGUAUUUGCAAGAAAGCUAAAGAAUUAGACUUUUUCAAUAUUUUAAAUUGUAAGAAAAAAUCAAUUGUUUUUUUUAAAUUAAAAAAUAAAACAUCAACUAUUUAUAUAAUAGCUAAAUGAAUCUAUUAAAAUAAAUAAAAAAUAACUAGUAAAAUUAAGUAAAUAAUCCAAAAAUAACAAAAAUAAAUAAAAAUGUAUUUUUUAAAAACUUUUAUCUUAUAUGGGUUGGGGUUGCUAUGCAACUUAACCGGGAUCACCAUGAUUGUCGAGUAGAGUAAAUAAAUUACUUAACCGGGAUCACCAGAGGAGUUAUUUGCCAAGAUUAAGUUAUAUAACAGUUUAUAAAUCAUGCUAUCAUCUUCAUCACCAUAUAUAAAGUUUUAUAAUAAAAAAAUAUUUAAAAAAACAAUUUUCAUUACAUUUUCAAAUUAGUUAAAGUUUUUCAAAUGAAUGGAUUGAUGUCGAUGACACUCUCUAGUCAGUUUUGAGAAUUUUAAAUCCAAACAAGUGAAUUUAUAUUGUAUAUGGAUCAAGCAAGCAUGCUUGUACAAUAAUUUCUUAUACUCAAUAGAAAUUUGGGUUUAUCAUUACAAACCGUAUUUUAAAAUACUAUUGCCAAAAGAUCAUAUUAUUUAUUAAAACAAGAAAGGACCAAAGUUAAUAAAUAGUAGCAUGCUCGAAACUUCGUGAUACCAAAGUUAAUAAAUAAUAAAGUUAAUAAAUAGUAGCAUGCUUUAAAAGAGUGUUACAGUAAAAGCACAGAAAGAAGAACGGUUCAAGACAGAACUAUAAUGUUAACGCGUGGGACCCAUUUGUUGCAACCAGCACGAAACUCCAGCUCAAUAUUUACCAGCACUACACGCUUGAGUAAUUUCCUUGCGUUUUUUUUCCUCUACCGCUCUACGUGUUACCUUUUACCUCUUUUAUAAUUAUGAUUUAUUAACGAGAAUAAAACAAUUCUGUGUAAAUUAUACAAAUUUCCAUUGUUGCUUUUUUUCUUGCACGUGUUAGAUUUUUAUUUUUUAUAAUUAUAAUUAUUGCAUUGCUAAUAAUUUGCAAGAAAGAAUAUUCUUUCUCUGCUUAAGAAAACCCUAAGCAUUGUAGAUAAUCUCUUAUAGGAAUCUCUUUAUUAAAUCAUCAAAAUAUCAGAGUCUAUUUCCAAAUACUAUUACGACAGUCUAUAUAAAGAAUACAAUUAACCUCAUUUCAAUAUCAUAGCUUUGGAAUUUCAUAGCUAACUCUUUGUUAUAUUGCUCCAUUGGUAAUUGAUUGUGCCUUGAUUUCUGCAGCUGCCAUGACAGAGCCAGAGUCUUCUCGAUCUAGACCAGAAGGCGCCUAUGAUGUCUUCUUGAGUUUUAGAGGAGAAGACACUCGCCAGACAUUUACAGAUCAUCUAUAUACUGCCUUGGUCCAGGCAGGAAUCCACACUUUUCGAGAUGAUGAUGAACUUCCGAGAGGAGAAGAAAUCUCCGAUCAUCUCCUCAGGGCAAUUCACGAAUCAAAGAUAUCCUUAGUUGUCUUCUCAAAAGGAUAUGCUUCUUCUAGAUGGUGUCUCAAUGAACUUGUAGAGAUUCUUCAGUGCAAAAAUAGGAAAACCAAUCAGAUUGUUCUUCCUAUAUUCUAUGACAUUGAUCCUUCAGAUGUGAGAAAACAGAAUGGCAGUUUUGCAGAAGCAUUUGUUAAACAUGAAGAGCGUUUUGAAGAGAAGUUGGUGAAGGAGUGGAGAAAAGCUCUUGAGGAGGCUGGAAAUCUAUCUGGAUGGAAUCUCAAUGAUAUGGCAAAUGGGUAUGUCUUUUUUCCAAAUUUAUGGAGUCAAUAUACUUUACAUUUUUCAAUGUGAAACAAUAAAAUGCUUAAUUGACUCGCUAUCAAUGACCUGCUUUUGUCUAUGAGCAGGCAUGAAGCAAAAUUUACCAAAGAGAUUAUCAAGGAUGUGUUGAAGAAAUUAGAACCCAAGUACUUAUAUGUUCCUGAGCACCUAGUAGGUAUGGAUCGGCUUGCUCGCAGUAUUUUUGACUUUCUAAGUACUGCAACAGAUGAUGUACGCAUUGUGGGCAUACAUGGGAUGCCAGGAAUAGGAAAGACAACUAUAGCAAAAGUUGUAUUUAAUCAACUCUGCUAUAGAUUCGAGGGAAGCUGCUUUCUUUCGAAUAUCAAUGAAACAUCAAAACAAUUCAAUGGUCUGGCUCUUUUACAAAAGCAACUUCUUCAUGAUAUUUUAAAACAAGAUGUUGCUAACAUCAAUUGUGUCGAUAGAGGAAAGGUUCUGAUCAAAGAGCGACUUUGUCGCAAAAGAGUUCUUGUUGUUGCUGAUGAUGUUGCUCGUCAGGACCAGCUAAAUGCUUUGAUGGGAGAGCGAAGUUGGUUUGGUCCCGGAAGUAGAGUGAUUAUUACAACAAGAGAUUCUAGUGUUCUACUUAAAGCAGAUCAAACAUAUCAGAUCGAAGAAUUGAAACCAUAUGAGUCCCUUCAGCUUUUCCGAUGGCAUGCCUUGAGGGACACAAAGCCAACAGAAGAUUAUAUUGAGCUUUCGAAGGAUGCAGUUGAUUACUGUGGAGGACUUCCUUUAGCUCUUGAGGUUAUGGGUGCUUGUCUGUCCGGGAAAAACAGAGAUGGUUGGAAAUGUGUAAUUGAAAAAUUGAGAAGAAUUCCACACCACGAUAUUCAAGGAAAGCUUAGAAUAAGUUUUGACGCACUGGACGGUGAAGAACUACAAAAUGCAUUCCUUGACAUCGCUUGCUUCUUUAUUGAUAGAAAGAAAGAGUACGUCGCAAAAGUGCUAGGAGCCCGUUGCGGUUACAAUCCAGAAGUUGAUUUGCAAACUCUCCAUGAAAGGUCUCUAAUUAAAGUUAAUGCCAUUGGGGAGAUAACCAUGCAUGAUCUAUUACGAGACAUGGGAAGGGAGGUCGUUCGUGAAUCGUCUCCAAAAGAACCUGGAAAGAGGACCAGAAUUUGGAAUCAAGAGGAUGCAUGGAAUGUACUUGAGCAGCAGAAGGUAAGAGCUCAAUGCAUACACGAAAGCAUGGUCAAUGUUGUAUUUUCUAGUCAAACUUAUUACAUAUAAUUGUAUGAAAGUUGUAUUGUUUUUUUUUUAGGGUACCGAUGUUGUAGAGGGUGUUGCACUGGAUGUCAGAGCAUCAGAAGCUAAAUCACUGAGCACAGGAUCAUUUGCAAAAAUGAAAUGCUUAAAUUUACUCCAAAUCAACGGAGCACAUCUCACCGGAUCCUUCAAACUGCUUUCUAAAGAGUUGAUGUGGAUUUGUUGGCUUCAAUGUCCUUUGAAAUAUUUUCCAUCUGAUUUUACCUUGGACAAUCUAGCUGUUCUUGAUAUGCAGUACAGUAACCUUAAAGAACUAUGGAAGGGAAAAAAGGUGAGAAACAUGCUGCAAUCCCCAAAAUUUCUCCAGUAUGUAAUUUAUAUUUACAUGUUACGACUUCUUAAGAUUAAUUUUCAUUAUUUUGCGCUCUAUUAUACAGAUUCUCAACAGGCUAAAAAUCCUUAAUUUCAGUCAUUCUCAGAACCUUGUUAAAACACCAAACUUGCACAGUUCAAGUCUAGAGAAACUAAUUCUGGAAGGUUGCUCGAGUUUAGUUGAGGUGCAUCAAUCAAUUGGACAUUCGACGAGCCUCGUUUUCUUGAAUCUGGAGGGAUGUUGGAGUCUGAAGACUCUCCCUGAAAGCAUUGGCAAUGUAAAGUCUCUUGAAACUCUGAAUAUUUCUGGGUGUUCACAACUUGAGAAAUUGCCAGAACGCAUGGGUGAUAUGGAAUCCUUAACUGAGCUGCUAGCCGAUGGGAUUGAAAAUGAGCAAUUUCUCUCUUCAAUUGGACAAUUAAAGCAUGUCAGAAGGUUAUCAUUGUGUCGAAACCGUUCGGCUCCACCAAGUUCUUCUUUGAUUUCAGCAGGUGUUUUGAAUUGGAAACGGUGGCCGCCAACAUCUUUCAUUGAAUGGAUAUCAGUGAAACGUCUUGAGCUUUCUAAUGGUGGUUUGUCUGAUCGCGCAACUAACUGUGUUGAUUUUAGGGGUUUGUCCGCUCUAGAGCAUUUGGAUCUAGAUGGAAACAAAUUCUCUAGCCUUCCUUCUGGGCUCGGCUUCCUUCCCAAGCUAAGGUGGUUGUCUGUUCAGGCAUGCAAAUAUCUUGUAUCAAUCCCAGAUCUUCCCUCAAGUUUAGACUUUUUGUUUGCAGCUCAUUGCAAAUCAUUGAAAAGAGUAAGAAUACCAAGCGAGCCAAAAAAAGAACUAUAUAUAGGACUAGAGAACAGUCAUUCGUUAGAAGAGAUUCAGGGCAUCGAAGGUCUAAGUAAUAGUUUCUGGUAUAUUCGUGUUGAUAAGCACAAUAAUUCACCAAAUAAAUUACCGAAAAACGUUAUUGAGGUACUAUUUCUUUCAGUCUCUCUUGCACAAAAAGUAAACACACAAUUAGCACAUGCAUCGAUAUUUAUUAUAUGUCAUCGAUAUUGAAUAAUGAUUUAUUUUCUAGCAUAAAUUAUGUUUGAAAUAAAAUUGAUAAAAAACAUGAAUACACAAUUAUUGAUGGGAUGGUAUAUAAAAAUAAUUAAAUUGAAAUUUUUUAAUUAUUUUUAAACAUAUCAUGGUUUUAGGUACAUCAUUAAAUUAUAAAAAAAAUUAUGUAUUUUUCUGAUAUAUAUAUAUAUAUAUAUAUAUAUAUAUAUAUAUAUGGCAAUAACAAAUUAAAUGAUUAUAACAAGAAAAUAGAAAUUAGUUUGAAUAAAUGUUACCAGUUCUAUUAAUUUGAACGGUACAUCAUUCACCGAAUAAAUUACAGAAGAGCGUUGUUGAGGUACUAUUUCUUUCCGUCUAUCUUUCACACAAAAAGAAACACACACAAUUGGCACAUACAUUGAUUAAUGUCUAAAAUCUCAGCAUUCCUUGAAAUCAAUAUGUAUAUAGGCAAUAAUUAUUAUUAUUAUUAUUAUAUUUAAAAAAACAAAUAUCAUCUUUAAUAAUAUUUUUUAUUUUUCUUAUUUGAUCUAAAAAAUUAAAUAUUAUCUUUAAUAAUAUUUUUUUAUUAAAUAUUUAAAGUCUGAUUGGUUUUAUUUUUUAUUUCUUGAUUUUAUGAUAAUAUAUUUAUACAGUUAAUGUGCAACGGUCGUCACGGGUAUUCUUUCUUUUGGGAUGUCGCCGGGAGUUUAAUUUCCGAGUGUAAAAAUUAUGUAUAAAUUUCUAUUCUUUCCUUUCAUCCAUUACUUGUCCUCUAUGAAGAUUCUAUGUAUGAAAUCUCGGAAUCUUUUCGAGUAUAACUUGGGAUCAACAGCUGAGAUAGACGUGGGAUCCACUUGUAAGGACUUUUAUGCAUGCUCUAGCUUUUUGCUGAUAUCAUAAUCCUGGAGGAUGUCAAUGAUACCAAAGUGAAGAACUACAUCGAAGAUCUCAUUACCAUUAUGUGAAGGUGUUGAAUUGUUACUUCCACCCCCCAUGCACUGAUCCAUUUCAGUAGUCCUCAUUACACUCUCGGCUCUUGCAGGCACAUUUGCCCCCAGCCGGAUGAAUGGCCCCCUGGAACAGAUUUCACAUGAGUACUACAGAUAAAAUCUAGACAUUGCAUCACAUAAUCACCAAAAUUCAAAGUAACAAAACGAAGAACAAAAUGUGAUAACAAUGACAAUGAUCACUCAACCACAGCCGAAUCUUACGCUUUGAAGACACUUUUCAUCAUUAAUUUUCCUUUUCACAUUGAUUUUCAAUGUUCCGGGCAGAUAAAAUAGCAUUGAUUUACAACCAUGGUUUUAAGGCAUCAUUAUUGGCAAAAACAUUGUAGGAUCAUGCACAUUUAACUAGUUGUUAAUUGAUUUUCAACCAGAUAAAAUAGCAUUGAUUUUCAAUGUUCCUUUAUCCUUGUAGUCUAAGAAAAUAUUAUUUAAUUCUUUUGUUUUCAUAUUCAUCUAUGAUUUAAUGUGUUGAUUGAAAUUGACAAUUGAGUUGUUAGUAAUAGCAAAAGGCAUGUACAAUCAUGCACAUUUAACUUUCUUUUUAAAUUUAAAAGUUCUAUUGAAUUUGAUGGUUUUUUAGGAUACAAAAGACUUGAAUUGACGUGAGAGUACAAGAUCAUUUUACGUGGAGAUGCUUGGAGUUGCUCCAAAUCAGUACAGUACUUCUACCUGACAUGUUGAUAUGUAUUUGUUGGCUUGAAGAUCAUUUUCCAAGUUUGGAAGUUUUAUUGAAUUCUCUUUCAAAUCUUUUCCAUCCGCUUUUAUGUUGGACAACCUAGUUGUUAAUUAUUUUCCAUGAUGUAAUUUAUAUUUUCAAGUGUUGAUCGAAAUUGACAACCUAGUUUUAUUUAAUUAAUGUGUUGAUUGAAAUUAAGAAUUAAAGGUUUAAUUAAAUGAAAUACAGCUUUAAAGAACACAUCAACUACAUUUCAUAUGCUCAACUCUCAGCAAAUUGAAAUUUCAAGGCUAUUUGAAUCUUGAAAACACAAUCUCAAUAAUCUUAAUGUGAUGAGUGAUUUCUUUUCUAUUUUUUUUUCUUUGGAUCAAAAGGGUCUUAUUGAAUUAUUAUUUGUUAGGUAACUAAGAUUUAUUGAUGUUAAAAAUAGCACUAAGUUUUUGGCAUGACAAUUGGUGAGAAGCAAAAGCAACAGCAAUCCAUCAGGUUCAUCACCAUCCUAUCGCUUUGCCGUACUGUUUAUCUUCUUGGCAUUGUUCAAAGGAACGCAAAAGACAUUCCAAGUGUGAAAGUGUGUGUGAAAGUGUAUUAUUGUCAUAAAGUUUUUCAAACUUCCAAUAUAGAGAGUGAAAUAAAGAGCAAAAGGAAACAUCUUUCUUGUUCCCUUCCCCUUCUUUACAUGGCUUACUCAAUGAAAAAGCAAUUAAACACCCCAUUUGAUUUUCAAUAAGUAUGAGAAUGCGAAAGAGAGAGGCCAAGGGGUUCCUUGAAUAUUUUCUUCUUUUUUAUCUCGCUCACUGGGGCAAACCAUCUUUUUCAAAAUUUUGAAUAUUAGCAUGCCAUCAAAAAGAAUUUUGUUCAAUCCCAAUCCCACAUUGUCUGUAGAAGUAUUUACUUUUGACUGUACACUUUGUUAUUUUCCAAUCCCUCCCCAGUUCUGCAACCAUUUCUCUACUUUCUAUGCUCUUGGCUUGCUAAAAACUUUUAUCCUUGAUUGUAGUUAGAAAUAAAUUGGUUUUCUAGGAAGAGAUUAUUGAUUGGGAUAUAAUAUUUAAGUUGGUUCUUCAUCAUUUAAUGUUAUAAUUUAAAAUAAUUGAUGAAAAUUACUGUACACAAAAAAGUUGUGAGAACAUCCUUAAUUAGUCUAAUAAGUAAAGUGUUGUUAGUUUUGACUAUAAGAUCUUGUUAUGUAUUAUUGCAUAGUUUUUACUAUUUUUUCGGUAUUUUUUCUUUUUUAUAUACAACUUUUAUUUUUCUUGCCAGUUUGUCAUGGCACCAACACCAAUUAAUAAUAAAUCUUAGACUAUUAUUAAAUAAAGAAAAAACAUAAACAUGGUUAAAAUACCAAACUUGAAUUGCUCAAACCUAAAGAAACCCUAUGACAAUAAUCUAAUUUAGAAAAUAAUUAAUUUAUCCUUGUAGUCCAAGAAAAUAGUAUUUAAUUCUUAUGUUUUCAUAUUCAUAUAUGAUUUAAUGUGUUGAUUGAAAUUGUCAAUGGAGUUUACUCACAUAUUGUUAUAUUGAUUUUGAGUUCAAAUAGAUGUUUAAAAAGAGAGUUUUUUCAUGAAUGCAACCCUUCAUGUAGUCCAAGAAAAUUAGAAGAAUUAAUAAGUUUGCGGACUUAAUUAAACUUUGAGUUAAUUAAUCAAAUAAAUUCAGGGAUUUAAUUAAAAUUAACCUAAGGGCACAAUUAGAAAUCAAUUAUUACUGAUUAGGAUCCCAAUUGUUGAGAUUAAAUUGAUUAGGGGUCAAAGUGAAUAUUUCCAUUCCUGUCGAAAUGACACCGUGGUUGGGGAACAGUCGUGUAUCUUCUUCAUUCCGAUUCAACAGGGAAGCUGGAAAAUCGGCAGUAAAACCGACCCAAUCGUGACCACGUUCUCUGCCCACAAUCCCGUUCGUGGAGGGAUAACAGUCCUGCAAAGCCAGGACUGGUUUGAGGGGCAAGCUCUUAGGGGCCUUAUAAAAGGCAGAGUAGAGCAGAAAAAGGGAGGGGAAGAACACCGGGAAAAGACCAGAGAGCCGAAAAAUCAACCCAGAAAAACAGAGUUGAAAAAAAAAAGGGCAGAGAAAACAGAGCACAAAUCCAAAUACAGAGAGAAAGAGAGAACAAGAGGGCAGGACACAGUGAGGAGAAUUAUCCUUGAAAUUGUCUUCGGACCUGCAAACAAAGAAAAACCCGGAUUCAGCCAAAGAACACUCACAACAAGCCGGAAUCUUCUUUGUAGCUGUCACACCCGGACAUCGCGGCGACCAAUUAAAAAUUAUUAAAUCUUUGGAAAAGAACGGAUUUCUGGCAUCCUGUUCUUUAAUGGGGAAUGGUCUUUGUUUAAGGAGUCGCCACCUAGUAUUAUGGUCACUAGGAACACUAACUGGUCAACAGAGAUUCUAUGGUUCGAGACUGGUUACGUAAAAGGGAAGAUAUUAUCACCCCUUAAACGUCCUGCCUAAGGCAGGCUGCAUUGCUAGUUUCGUCUUAAAUUGCUAAAUGUUUAUUACUUUAUGCUAUGAAAAUUUGCUUAUAAUAUUCCUGACUCUGGCGCCAGUGAAUAUUCAACUAUGAAUAUUUCCAACUCUGGCGUUGGUAAAUAUUACGUAGCUAUAAAAUAAAUUAGAUCAAUAUUUUAUUUUAUUCCCGACUCUGGCGCCAGUGAAUAAAUAAAUAAUAAUAAAUUUAUUUUUUACAAAUGCAAAUAUUUUUUAUAUUUCUAGCUAAAUAAAAUAAAAUACAAUGAAUAAAAAUAAUAUAAAUUUAAACCGGUAUUUUUAUUCCUGACUCUGACGUCAGUGAAUAAACCAAUAAAUUUACAUUAUUUUUAUUCAUGCAUACACAUUUUUAUUUUUUUAUUUUUUCUGUUUUUUUAUAUAUGUUUAUUUUUUUUUUUUUAAAGGACUAAGCUUCACACGUGUAUGCAAAAGUAGUGAAUUAAAUUUGCCUAUGUACAGUACCCAUGCCCGACACCCCACGUGAAUAAAAAAAAAAAGAAAAAAAAAAAAAAGAAUUGCAAAGCAAAGGGAAAUGAAGAACUUACCUGUGCAGGAGGCGAAGUCGAAGACGGUGGCGAAGGUGUGCUGAAUUGCCAAAGCUACCUUCUCUCCUUCUCUGUUUUUAUUCUUCGUCCGCUUCUCCUCUGGUUUUGCUUUUCUUUGCUUUGAUUGCUUCUCUUAUUCUUCCUGUCUCCCCCCUGUGUUUGCUUGUUCUCAGUUCGCUUGUGUUUUCUUUUUUAUAUGUUGUUCAGGGAAUGGAGGAGCUGGUGUAAGUGGAGACAAAGCAGCUGAUGCCUGAGAGGGCGUUGUACUGCUGCUGGAGCUGGAAGAGGCGCGCGUUGCUGGUUGCUGAUGCAUGCUCACGAUGCAUGGAAGUGGCUGAGUUGCUACUAAUCUUGACGAUACUGGUUUCGUCCGCUGUAAAAGUUUUCGUGCCCCUGCAUCCGAUCAAAGCUUGUGCUUUUCCAAGCAAAAGCCAUGGUCCCUUGAAACUCAGCAGAUUUUCGGAGCAAGGAGGAUCGCAUGCCAAUGUAGUUCAUGGUUCUGGUUUAGAGGCAGACGUGGCGGAGAUUAAUGGUGAUUGGGACCACAGCCUAGAAGGUGACCGGGAGGAAGAUGAUCUCAAGCCUUUAUUUGCUUUUUUUUUUUUUGUGAGGAGUUUGCAGAUCCCGGGGGUUGAGAAUGAAGAAUGAAAAAUCAAUUUGAUGGGGAAGAGAUUGAGGCCAGGCAAGAAGGGAGGAAAAGGCUGGGGGGAGGGGGAAGCGACGGCUAGUCUAGGACUCGGCCGCGCCCUCCUUUUUUUUUUUAAAUGUCUUUUGUUUCUUUUCUUUUUUUAUAGGUUUUUGGUAAUGGUCUUCUCUUGGGUUUUUUUUUUUGUGUCGUUUAGGGUUCCUCUCUAAUCAUCCCCUCUCCUUUUCUUUCCCCUGAGAUCUGUAUUUAUAGUGCCAGAGUCCCUUCGCUUGUGAGAAACCAAGUUUCAAUCAAACUCAUUCUUUUUUUUGAAGUUUGAAUUUUAUUAAGAAUCAAAUUUGAAAGCGGAUAACUAUCAUUAUCUUAAAGACAAGGAUUAUCUCGAAGAUAAAGAUUAUCUUGAAGAUAGGGAUUAUCUUGAAGAUAAAGAUAGAAUGAUAAAAGCACAUUGUAGUCCUUAAUUUUCACGGAAGUUGACAAAUCACACUUUUCAUUGAAAUAAAUCUCUGAUCUUUUAAUUUUUCAUUUUAAACCCUGUAAAAAUUAAAUUAAAAAUCAAAGGGCCAAAAUUGGGUUAUGACAGUAGCUUUAGAAGUUACAGAGAAAUCAAGAAGGAAAGCACAGACAAGUGGUCACAGAAGGAAAACCAGAGGAGCAUUAGGCGAGAAUCAUCAAGCAGCGCUGCAAGCAUCUUCGGUCUCCAGAAGCAGGUAUGACUUCGUCCCCUUUGCAUCUUCAUUUCAAAAAGUGAUUCUGUGUUACAAGAACACUGUGUGAAGGUAAUUUAAUUACCUUCACUAGUGUUCGGGCACGCGUGAACAAGUCACGCGUGCCUUUAGUUUUUGCCCAGCCGGGUCACUGGCUUGGGCCAGUGACCGGGCUGGGCUGGCUAGGCCCAGCCCAGCCCCAAAAUUUUUUUGCUGGGCUGGGCCCACCCCACCCAGUUCAAAAAAUAAUAAAAAUAAAAAAUAUGUAUGUAUAGAUAAAAAAUAAUGUAAAUUUAUUGGUUUAUUCACUGACGCCAGAGUCAGGAAUAAAAUACCAGUUUAAAUUUAUAUUAUUUUUAUUCGUUGUAUUUUAUUUUAUUUAGAUGAAUAAAAAUAAUGUAAAUUUAUUGGUUUAUUCACUGACGCCAGAGUCAGGAAUAAAAAUACCGGUUUAAAUUUAUAUUUUUUUUUAUUUGUUGUAUUUUAUUUUAUUUAGCUAGAAAAAAAUCAAAAAAAAUGUGCAUGCGUAAAAAAUAAAUUUAUUUUUGUUUAUUUAUCACUAGCACUAGAGUCAGGAAAAUAAAAAAAUAUUAAUCUAAUUUAUUUUAUAGCUACGUGAUAUUUACCAACGCCAGAGUUAGAAGUAUCCGUAGUUUAAUAUUCACUGGCGCCAGAGUCGGGAAUAUUAUAAGUAAAUUAUCAUAUCGUAAACUAAUAAACAUUUAGCAAUUCAAGACGAAACUAGCAAUGCAGCCUGCCUCAGACAGGACGUUUAAGGGGUGAUAAUAUCUUCCCUUUUACGUAACCAGUCCCGAACCAUAGAAUCUCUGUUGACCAGUUAGGGUUCCUAGUGACCAUAAUACUAGGUGGCGACUCCUUAAACAAAAAUCAUUCACCAUCAAAGAAUAGGAUGCUAGAAAUCCAUUCUUUUCUAAUUUUAAUUUUUUAAGACCGCCGCGAUGUCGGGUGUGACAAGGAGUGAUUUCUUUUCUAUUAUUUUUUUUCUUUGGAUCAAAAGGGUCUUAUUGAAUUAUUAUUUGUUAGGUAACUAAGAUUUGUUGAUGUGAAAAAUUUGGCAUGGCCAUCGGUGAGAAUCAAAAGCAGCAGCAAUCCAUCUGUGAAGCCGUACACCACAUCAGGGCCCCAACAUUUAGACUUUUGAUGGCAACCAAAGCUAAAUUUAAAAACAGGACCAUCUGAGAAGCCGGCAUACAACAACAGGUCAAAGAUCCAAUUUCCAAAAAUAAACCAUGUAUCAUGUAGUUUAACAUCUCUAAGCAUGAUUUUUGCAAUAAUCAUCUAUGCUUUACCAUUCAUAUCUUUCACCACAGUUCUCUGUCACCACUUCACAUGCACACAUUCCAAAAAAGAGAUAGCAUGGAAAAAUGUCUUUGCUUGCCGUAAAAAAUACAAGGGCUAAAACCUAACAUAAGGAAAAUAGAUUGGGAAAAGGAAAGCAGAACCAAAGCAAGGCACUAACAAUUAGGAGGGGCAAAAACAUGAAUUCUGAAAAGGAAAAUACAUUCCGGCCUUCCAUGACCCAAUCCAUAUUGGGCAGCAAAUGAUAACCCCGCAUCGAUGUUUCCUCGUGAUGUGAAUUUCUUUUUUCUGAUACAGAAACACAAAACCAAAUUACCUCAAGGUCUAUUGUUGUUGUAAAUUUUUAAGGUAGCAGAAUUACAGGAUAAAAGUAAUUUACCAAAAUGCUUAUGGAUAAUUGGCUCUUCCAUCCAGCAUUAAUUCUAUUAUCAAUUAUAGUUCAGUCACUGGUUGUAGAUAAAUUUUUUUAAGAUAUUAUCAAGUUUUAUUUUUAUCAUUAAAAUUUAGAAUUAAUUCUAUUACGUAUUUAAAUGUGUUUAGUUACCUUGUAAACCGUAUGGUAGAGUCCCUCAAAUAUUCUGGCCACAGCAAAUUGUAUGGGGCUUGCAACCACUAUAUUUUAUGCCAAGCUAAUAAUAUUUUUUUUUCUAAAUUAAAGAUUAAUAUUUUUUGUUCGCAUCAAAUAAUUAAAAAUGAGAAUUUCAGAGCAGAGGGUUUAAGAAAUAUUAAAAGAGAAGGUUUUACGUAAUUAUUAUAUAAUUGAAAUUGUCACUAAUCUCCUUUGUUCAUUUUCUUUUUCUAUUACCCCUUCCAAUCAGCAUGCACGAAACUUUAUGUCACUCAAAUGAUACAAAUGCUUUCACCGUUUUAUGCUGAUUGUUUAUUAUUAUUUUUUUUUUUUUAAUGAAAGUGAUUGUUCAGGCCAGUUUAUAUGUAUUUUGAAGUUAACGAUCAUAUAAACUUCCAGUGACCUUGAAGUUUGUAGGACUCGAACUGAUAAUUUCUAAAAAGUAAACUUAAAGUCUAAUUAGUUGAGUUAUACCUUUCAGAAUUACAAAAUUACAUUGCUUGUUAAAUUAAUAAAGUUAUUAGUUGCUAUAAAGUAAGAGAUAAGAAAGUAUCUAGGAAUAUGGUAAAUAUUGUGUUUUAAAAUAUAUUAAAAUAAUAUUUUUUUAUUUUUAAAAUUUAUUUUUAAUAUUAUUACAUCAAAACUAUAUAAAAUUUUUUUCAGAAUAUCAAUUCAACCGUACUCCAAAGAACACUCAUACUCCAAUAUCAGCAACCACCACGAAAGUUACCACUCAAUAAUUUAUUCUUUGACAAUUAUUGCAUUGCUAAUAAUUUGCAAGGAAACAUACUUUCUAACCGAUACUCAAUCGAUCUGCACCUACCACGAAAUUACCAAUAAGAGUCUGUUUGAUAUUUUUCCAACUUUUACUAUUUUACUUCAAAGUUUCAAUAAUUGUUUUUUCAUUACAUAUUCUUUCCAACGUGUAAUAAUUUGGAACCACUCGCAAUAAAUAAAGCCAGCAAAGCCAGAUGUGUUUGUCUAUAUAUACAUGAACUGCUGAUUCGAUUUGAACACCCCAUUUCUCCGAUUCAAUAACUUCAGUUGCAAAACUUCUCUCUCCGAUUGCUGCAAUUUCAAAGCUAACUCUUUAUUAUACAGAGGUAUAUAUGGCUAACUCUUCUUUGCUUCUUUCUCGUUUUAAUUUCAUGUCUUUACCAAGAAUAAUAAUGUGAAAGCUUUGCUUGUUUCAUGUUUAACUUCAGUUGCUAUUGUCUUAUGCUCUCUCAUUAUUAAGCUUAAAUUGCUGUAUUAUCUUCGAUGAUCACUUCACAUGUAUCAGCAAUUGCUAAUUGAUUGUUCCUUAAAUUCUGCAGCUGAAAUGACAGAGCCACAGUCUUCUCAUUCUAGACCAGAAGGGGCCUAUGAUGUCUUCCUGAGUUUUAGAGGAGAAGAUACCCGCAAGACAUUUGUAGAUCAUCUAUAUACUGCCUUAGUCCAAGCAGGAAUCCACACUUUUCGAGAUGAUGAUGAACUUCCUAGAGGAGAAGAAAUCUCCGAGCAUCUUCUCGAGGCAAUUCGAGAAUCAAAGAUAUCCAUAGUUGUCUUCUCAAAAGGAUAUGCUUCUUCUAGAUGGUGUCUCAAUGAACUUGUAGAGAUUCUGAAGUGCAAAAGGAAGAAAACCGGUCAGAUUGUUCUUCCUAUAUUCUAUGACAUUGAUCCUUCAGAUGUGAGAAAACAGACUGGCAGUUUUGCAGAGGCAUUUGAUAAGCAUGAAGAAGAGCGUUUUGAAGAGAAGUUGGUGAAGGAGUGGAGAAAAGCUCUUGAGGAUGCCGGAAACCUAUCUGGAUGGAGUCUCAAUGAUAUGGCAAAUGGGUAUUCCUUCUCUCUCUAAGAUUCACUUGCACACGUUUAUGGAGUAAUUUUACAUUACAUUUUUCAAUGUGAAGUAAUAAAAUAUUUCUUUUUAACAUACUUAAUUGACUUUCUAUCGAUGACUUGCCUUUUUUCUGUGAGCAGGCAUGAAGCAAAAUUUAUCAAAGGGAUAAUCAAGGAUGUGUUGAAUAAAUUACGUCGCGAGUGCUUAUAUGUUCCUGAGCACCUGGUAGGUAUGGAUCUUGCUCACGAUAUUUAUGACUUUCUAAGUACUGCAACAGAUGAUGUACGCAUUGUGGGCAUACAUGGGAUGCCAGGAAUAGGAAAGACAACUAUAGCAAAAGUUGUAUUUAAUCAACUCUGCAAUGGACUCGAUGGAAGCUGUUUUCUUUCGGAUAUCAAUGAAACAUCAAAACAAUUCAAUGGUCUGGCUCUUUUACAAAAGCAACUUCUUCAUGAUAUUUUAAAACAAGAUGUUGCUAACAUCAAUUGUGUCGAUAGAGGAAAGGUUAUGAUCAAAGAUCGACUUUGUCGCAAAAGAGUUCUUGUUGUUGCCGACGAUGUGGCUCAUCUGGACCAGCUAAAUGCUUUGAUGGGAGAGCGAAGUUGGUUUGGUCCCGGAAGUAGAGUAAUUAUUACAACAAGAGAUUCAAGUUUACUUCGUAAAGCAGAUCUAACAUAUGAGAUUGAAGAAUUGGAACCAGACGAGUCCCUUCAGCUUUUCAGCUGGCAUGCCUUUAAGGACACCAAGCCAGCAGAAGAUUAUAUUGAGCUUUCGAAGAAAGCUGUUGAUUUCUGUGGAGGACUUCCUUUAGCUCUUCAGGUUAUAGGAGCUCUUCUGUACAGGGAAAACAAUGAUAAAUGGGAAGGUGAAAUUGACAACUUGAGCAGAAUUCCAAACCAAGAUAUUCAAGGAAAGCUUCUAAUAAGUUUUGACGCACUUGAUGGUGAACUACAAAAUGCAUUCCUUGAUAUUGCAUUCUUCUUUAUUGGUAAAGAGAAAGAAUACGUCGCAAAAUUGCUAGGAGCCUGUUGCCGUUACAAUCCAGAAGUUUUGGAGAAACUCCGUGAAAGGUCUCUGAUUGAAAUAUUGGAAGAGACGGUAACCAUGCAUGAUCUAUUACGAGAGAUGGGAAGGGAGGUCGUUUUUAAAGCAAAAGGAUGCAUGGAAUGUACUUCAGAAAAACAUUAUGGAAUGUACUUCAGCAGCAGAAGGUACGAGCUCAAUGCAUACACAUAGCCAUGCGUAUUUUCUAGUCAAACUUAUUACAAAUAAUCAUAUAAAAGUUUUAUUGUUUUUUUUUUUCAGGGUACGGAUGUUGUAGAGGGUCUUGCACUGGAUAUGAGAGCAUCAGAAGCUAAAUCACUAAGCACAGUAUCAUUUGCAAAAAUGAAACGUUUAAAUUUACUCCAAAUCAAUGGAGCACAUCUCACCGGAUCCUUCAAACUGCUUUCUAAAGAGUUGAUGUGGAUUUGUUGGCAUGAAUGUCCUUUGAAAUAUUUGCCAUCUGAUUUUACCUUGGACAAUCUAGCUGUUCUUCAUAUGCAGUACAGUAACCUCAAAGAACUAUGGAAGGGAAAAAAGGUACGAAACAUUUUACAAUCCCCAACAUUUCUCCAGUAUGUAAUUUAUAUUUACAUGUUAUGACUUUCUAUGAUUAAUUUUCAUUAUUUUUCUCUCUAUUAUAACAGAUUCUUGACAAGCUUAAAAUCCUUAAUCUCAAUCAUUCUCAGAACCUUAUUAAAACACCAGACUUGCAUAGUUCAAGUCUAGAGAAACUAAUUCUGAAAGGUUGCUUGAGUUUAGUUGAGGUGCAUCAAUCAAUUGAAAAUUUGACGAGCCUCGUUUUCUUGAAUAUGAAGGGAUGUUGGAGGCUGAAGAAUCUCCCUGAAAGCAUUGGCAAUCUAAAGUCUCUUGAAACUCUGAAUAUUUCUGGGUGUUCACAACUUGAGAAAUUGCCAGAACGCAUGGGUGAUAUGGAAUCCUUAACUGAGUUGCUAGCCAAUGGGAUUGAAAAUGAGCAAUUUCUCUCUUCAAUUGGACAAUUAAAGCAUGUCAGAAGGUUAUCAUUGUGUGGAUACAGUUCGGCUCCACCAAGUUGUUCUUUGAUUUUAGCAGGUGCUUCGAAUUUGAAACGGUUGCUGCCAACAUCUUUCACUGAAUGGAUAUCAGUGAAACGUCUCGAGCUUUUUAAUGGUGGUUUGACUGAUCGCGCAACUAACUGUGUUGAUUUUAGUGGUUUGUCUGCUCUAGAAUUUUUGGAUCUAAGAGGAAACAAAUUCUCUAGCGUGCCUUCUGGGAUCGGCUUCCUUCCCAAGCUAGAUGUCUUGUUUCUUCACGGAUGCGAACAUAUUGUAUCAAUCCUAGAUCUUCCCUCAAGUUUAAGUUGUUUCAGUGCACCUUAUUGCAAAUCAUUGGAAAGAGUAAGAUUACCAAUCGAGCCAAAAAAAAAUCUAUAUAUAAAUCUACAGGAAAGUCAUUCGUUAGAAAAGAUUCAGGGCAUUGAAGAUCUAAGUAAUGGUGGCUGGAUAAUGUGGGUUGAUGACAGCAGUCAUUCACCAAAUAAAUUAUCGAAAAAUGUUUUUGAGGUACUAUUUCUUUAAGUUUCUCUUUCGCACAAAAAUAAACACACACAAUUGGCACAUACAUUGGUUAAUGUCUAAAUUCGCAACAUUUCUUAAAAUCAAUAUGUAUACAGGCAAUAAUCAUUAUUAUUAUUAUUAUUAUUAUUAUUAUUAUAUUUUAGAAAAUAAAUAUCAUCUCUAAUAAUAUUUUUUAUUUUUCUUAUUUAAUCUAAAAAAUUAAAUAUUAUAUUUAAUAAUAUUUUUUAUUAAAUAUUUAAAGUCUGAUUGGUUUUAUUUUUUAUUUCUUGAUUUUAUGAUAAUAUAUUUGUACAGACAAUGUUUAACGGUCGUCACCGGUAUUCCUGGUAAGAUGCCAAACUGGUUGAGCUACAGGGGAGAAGGAUGCUCAUUGUCAUUCCAUAUACCUCCAGUCUUCCAAGGCUUAGUUCUUUGGUUUGUCUGUCCAUAUACCUCAUUGCUCCUUCUCACCAUAUGCUGUAAAGAAAUAAUUCUUAGAUGGUCAUCAUAAGUAGGAUGAAUUACAUCUUAAAACUCCAUCACCGAAACAACGUGGCAAAAAUAAUCAAAGGAAAAGGUGGAUGAAUUGUUUCACGUGUCAAAAUAGAUUUAUACCAUGAUUUUGAAUUCAAGUGCUAAUUGAUAUUCAGCUUAGGUGAUAUCAUGUGAAGCAAUUAAUUCGUCCACUUUUUGUUAUGCAGAUCUUUCUCUCUCCAAAUCCAAUCUUACUAAAUAUAUAUAUAUAUAUAUAGUAAUUAGGAGAUCAAAUCUUAUCCUCUCAAUACUUAUCAUUCAACUAAUUAAUAACUUUAUUUAGCAUAAAUCCAUUAAUAAACUCACGAAAAGAACCUAACAUCCUCCUGAAUUCCUUAGCCGACACUCUCGUACACUGCUGAAUCAUUGAAAAAAUCAGUAGAAGAUCUGAAGUUAGCAUCUAUAACAGUGCCUUAGAAUUUAGAAAGAGAAAGGUUUUUUCUUUACUAUAUAUUCCAUUAUAUAAAGCAACUAAAAAAAGGUGGGUGUUAACUAUACAUUCCAAUGUUCAUCCUCUCACAAAAGUUUAUUUCUCCUUUAGGAAGUCCUUGAAAUUUUUAUUGUUUUAUAAUUUGGUUGCUGAACUUUUUUUCUUUUUCAAUUAGUCCUUUCAAGUCGCAUUAUUAUUAUUAGGAUAAGAAAUAAAAGCAAUGGUAUUCAAUUGUUUGAAUGUAAACGAAUAUCACCAAAAACUGAGGGAUGGAUAAGAUACAUAAGUAGAAGUGAAAUGGCAAUGGAAGAUUACUGUGGAGAUGACGAAUUGGAACUAUACAUUUCUUCAGUGCCAACAGUGGAUAAGAUAUAUUAAAUAUUUAAGGCUUUUCGGUAAGAAUACAUAUUUUCUUUAGUUAUUUAUAUUUUAUUCUAUUUAAUUUAAGAGAUUAAAUAUCAUCUUUAAUUAUUUUAUUUUUCUUAUUUAAUCUAAUAAAUUAAAUAUUAUCUUUAAUAAUAGUUUUUAUUAAAUAAUUAGAGUCUGAUUGGUUUUAUUUUUACUUCUCGAUUUUAUGAUAAAAUGUUUCUUAAUUAAUUUAAAAAAUAAAUAUUAUCUUUAAUAAUUAGAUCUAUUGAAUAUCACUUAAAAAAUAAAUUGUAACUUUAAUAAUUAUUUUUUGAAAAACAAAAAGCCAACAAUCACUAACAUAUUUAUUAAAAUCACUUUAGUUUAUUUAGAAAAUAUUGAAAAUUGAUUUUUGUUUUUUUACAUUAAAAUAAAAAAAUUGAAUAAUGUUUUUAUAUUUUAUUUCAAACUCGAUAUUUUAAAACAAAAAUGAAAAAGAUGUGAUAUUAACCUUUUUUUAUUAUAAAGUAAGUUUUUUAAUUAAAAGUAAUAGGAAUUUGUUCGUAAUAACAAAAUGCAUGUACAAUCAUGCGCAUUUAACUUUCUUUUCAAAUUUGAAAGUUCUAAUGAAUUUGAUGGUUUUUUAGGGUGCAAAAGACUUUGAUUGACGUGAGAGUACAAGAUCAUUUUUCAUAGAGAUACUUGAAGUUGCUCCAAAUCAGUACGAUACUUCCAUCUGACAUAUUGAUAUGUAUUUGUUGGCUUGAAGAUCAUUUUCCAAGCUUGGAAGUUUUAUAAAUUGAGCGCUCUUUGUAAUCUUUUCCAUGAUGUAAUUUAUAUUUUCAAGUUACAAAUUUUGAUGAAUAUUGUUUCAUUUUUUUCCUCACUUCAAAAGAU
rnacentral:lncRNA from 1 species